rnacentral:lncRNA from 1 species
UUGAGUUAAACCAUUGUGGUAUUUUGAUAUUUUCGUAACCUUGUUUCUUUAGUGCUUUCUUCGUGGAUGCCACUAAUCCAUCCAGAUUCACCGAAGAUAGUGAGGAACCACCUAACAACCAGAGAAGAUCACAGAAGAAGAAUCUUGCCUAAUCGCAUUCUAUAACAGCAUGAACUGAGACAAAUCCGGUUCAUUGCUUACUCUACUCUGAUCAGAUGAAAACAUUCAGAAUCAGAGAAGUAGUAGAAGGGAGGUCGUAAGAGAUAUAUAGUAGCAGGGAAUGCAGCAAAAACACUUUUUUUUUUCAGGCUACCAAAAGCAACGAAUUAAGGCUAGAGAUGUAGGAACGUCCUGAUUCGCUAAAACAUAUGGAUUACAUGAUCUGCAGCAGCAGGAUGGAUAUUACAGUUGAGUAGAAAUUAUUGCUGAACCGAAAGAUGAGGAACCAAUGCCUGGCCAUGGCCUGCACUGCACUGCUCUGCGCCCCCAAGAACCUGAAGCUCCCCCUGCACGGCGGCACUGCAACCUGUUGGUUGGAUUCAGAUUCAGAUUCAGAAGCUCCUGCAUGCAUGCGAUCCUCCUUAGCUUCCCAGGCAGUGGGCAGUGGCAGAGCGAGGAGGCGUGAGCAGUGAGCAGUCAGCAGCAGGGGUAGACGGCGACGCAGCGCCUCCUGGGCGGAGUGCAGAGGAGCAUGAAGACGAGGGCGAUGAUGGCGGCGACGAGCAGCCCCAGGAGGUUGAACCCGGCCUCCUCCUCCGCCUCGUUGCUGCAGCACAUCUUGCCCAUGCCGGUGGAUGGCUGUGGCCUAUGGGAUGGGAUGGGAUGGAUGGCUGAGUAGAAAAAAGAGCAAAGGGGGGGGGGGGGGGGGGGGGGGGGGGGCUUGCUUCUUGCUUCUUGGUACUAGCUGGCUGCUAUAUUUUGUUAUGAACCUUGGCUUUGAAGGCAUUGUAGUUGCAGGGCAGGCAGUGGUUGGGGCAUCGCUAUCGCGUCUCCCUCCUAUCAGUGAUGGUGAUGCCAUCCCCCUUUUUGGUUGUUCCACACCUCCAUGUCCAUUCAUCCUCCCAGCCUCCUCCCAGGAUGGAUGCUCCGCACGGCUGCCAAAUUGCCAAUCGCACGCACCCACCGGCGGCACGCCGGGGUGGCGUUGGAGACUGUUAGGCAGAUCAGAUCAACUGCCGUGCUCGGUUCGGCUCCGCUCGGCUCGGAUACACAGCACAAGACAGGAGUAUGUACUAUAUAUAUUUGGCAAGUAGGCGAUCCGUCAGGAUGGAAUGUUGGGGAGGUUCUCGUCGAUGGCGACGGCGAGGAAACAGUGUUUUUCUCUCCCGAUAAAUUAACGAAUAGUAUUUCCAGACAUGACUUUUUAGACCCGUGAACAGACUCGAAAUGAAAACUACAGAAAUCGUGCUCUAUCUAGGGUAGCUCAGCUCAGCCUAGGACGUACAACGUACUGCUGGUGUAACUAACCGCAAUUCAGUUAUCUGUCAAACUGCAGGUCCAGCACAUGCACCGAAUGAAUGAAUCUCUGAAAGGUGGCAAUCAGCGGUGUAACUAAGCCCACAGACUGAUGUCGACGCUGCCUGAAAGCUACUGGUACUACGCAGGUAACGUACGUAGCUAGCUGACAUGUUCUUUGCUCUGUGAAACCAACACAUAGCCCAAUCAGCGGUGGCACACGAGUCGGUGAGUGACCAUGUUGCGUGUCGGUCUCCCCCAUAUCUCCUCUCGGGAGGUGGCACGUUCUCCUUUUUCUUCCACGUUUUUUUGCAUAGAAUUGCGAGGCAAAUGGCCAUGAACCUUCUUGUCUCGUUUGAUUUAACAAACAGGACAAACGACCCAGGAAGCUUCUCCUUGACUUGUGUUCUGAUCCAGCUUUCUGAUCUGAGGCAGUUUGGGAUGAGAUCAUCCGAUCAGAGGGGUUCCUUUUUCCAUGAUCAGGGACAGAGGAUCAGUUUGGAAAAUUAGCUGGGUCCAACUUGCAUUGUUAUUAGUUGUACGUUUUGUUUAUUAGGAUUGCUCCCGAGUUGCAUUAUAUUGUUGGAUUGGAAGAGGAGGAAUGCUCUCUAGGAAAUUUUAGCAGGUUUCAACUUGUAGUAGCAAAUAAAUGGGUCCUAGGGAUUUUGGACCAUGAACCCUCCUUUCCGAACAGGGACUUUUUCUAACCGGUGCUGGGGUCACAUACUACUCGUCUUUUUGUCAUUUGUUUUGAUGCCAUGAAUGCAAAUUUCUGUUCGGAUUUGUAGCUGUAGACCACUUGCGCCUAUCAUUGGAACCCUUUUAUGUGUACGUAUGGAGUCAAAGUUUGCUUGCUAGCUUCCUACUACUUCUCAAAGCCUACAAACAAAGAUAGACUAUACUACUACAAAUCUACAACACAGGCUACGUCAUUUUCUUGAAUGCUAUGAAUGGCCAUUUAUCUCCUCUUCUCGAUACACUUUUUCAGCUAAUAAUAAUAAAGCCGGAUGGAACGAGCUAGUCAGGCAUUCUAUACUGAAUGAACAAUAUGCUGCGACACGAUUAAUUUUGUUCUGUAGUAUAGAAUUGGCAAGAAGGCUUUAUAUACUUCCUCCGUCUACAAUUACAAUGACUUUAGUGUUCAAAUUAUGUCCAUAGAUAUAAAUAGUAAUUUAGAGUAUGAGUAUCCAAUCAAGAGCAAAGCUGAUAAGAAGUUAGUCUACCUACCCUAAUGAAACCUGUUUAAUUUGUCCUAAAACUUAUUAGUACACCCUCUAUGUUUGUUCAUGGCCUCAGCACAAAUCACAAUAUGUUUAUUCACAAGGAUCUCAAUAGUGCAAAAUCAUUGCAAUAUUUCUAAACUCCUCGCCCUCAUUUUUUUAUUAAAUGAUCAUAGAUCAGUUGGUUGGGUUUCUUGUGGUGGAACUUACCCACUGGGUUCAAAUUCUUAACUUGACACGAUCGUAUUUUUCUGAAUUUAUUCCAAGAUUUAACGGCACUAUAAUUUUAGUGGUAGGCGAUGUCCCCGUCAAUAGUGAGAUGUCUGUGGUGACUUCGUGAAUCUCAUGAUCUGUCAGUUUAAAACUUUGGAGGUGCUCAUAGGGGUAGGGUUUGCGUACGUGUAUUCAUAAGGUAAGUGUGCAUGCAUUAUGAGAGUCUGUGUUGUACUAUGUAAUUCUAAAAAAGGGAGAAAAUGGUUCUUGGUAAAAAAAAGAAGAGAAAAUGGUUCUACAUGAUAUUUAAAGGGUUUGUCUACUCUAUGCCUCGGUAAAAUCUUUUUGCUUACACCCGAUUUUUUUUCCUUUUCUUUUUUUCUUGUCCUAAAUAGUGUGCACGGAAGGAAAUAAAACUAAGAUUUAGAUAAAAAAAUAUUCUCUCGCACCCAAAUUUAGUUAUUGAAAACUCAUGCUGGAUUUACACUUCACUUGUAUUCCCUCUGUCUUGAAAUAGAAAUAGAGUGUACUGUGACUUCUAAAAUUUAUAUUGAAAUACAAUACAUUCUAUAUAAUGACUAACAUCGAUUGGCAAGGUUUGUUAAAAAGUAAGCUACGAUUUGAGGAGAAACUCUAUAGUUAUAAUAAUCUUUAGGUACAUGCGAGUGUUUCACUUGAGUUGUCUUAAAAUUCAUAGAACGUAUUGUAUUACCGGAUAGGGGGGUAGAUUUGUAGUAGAGUUAUGGUGACUAUUUUGGUACCACAAUUGGUGUAACUAAAACUUUACGUGUAGGAAAGGAAUAUUUCACUGAUUCUUACAACACCUUUAAUCUAGGUGUGGAAAUCUACUAAAACACCUAAAUUGUUUCUUAUAAGUUAUAACAUGCUUGUUUCUUAUGGCAUGCUCACAUAGUUUGGGUGUAGGCACCUGUAAUCUAGGUGUGCAAGUCCACUAAAACACCUAAAUUGUUUGUUAUAAGUUAGAACAUGCUUGUUUCUUAUAACAUGCUCACAUAUUUUGGAUGUAGGAGAAACCUUUUUCACCCAGGCAUGGUAUUGCAGAAUUGUAUUUGAAAUGAGGUGUCGAUGGUCAUUUCAUACAGAUUUUUUCUUGACCUGUAGGAGUAGUUUUUUUUCUUAAUUAGUUAGUGUGCGUAAUAUGUUGUCAACAAAUAUAGUAACACAAAGGGAGUAAUCCAUCUAUGGAGGUGCAAUUGACAACUCCUUCGACCGCUUCGGCCCCCACCCCUCCCAUAGGGCGACUUUGCUGCCGCCGCCUUCGGCCCCCAUUCCCCUCGCCUCUAGCCUCCCUGCUGGUGGUGAGGAGGAGCAAGGUCUGGCCUUUUAGCAGAUUUACUAAUUUCUUAGAUUUUUCUUAUUUUACUUUUUUAUCCACAAUAAUUAAUUUGGGCUAGAUUUUGGUUGGCCAUUUUGAUGUUUUUGAUUCGGCUUUCUUUAUCAUAAAGGAUCGCUAGUGAAUGUGUCAUUGCCUUUGGUGAUGGCAUGCUCUUCCUAGAGAGAUUGAGGUAUAUUGGCAUAGUCCUUCUUGAGGAGGGAUUAGAUCUAUUUUUCCCCUUCUACGAGAUGUCUUUUCGGCUGGUGGUGAUGCUACUGGCGACAGCGGAUCUGCCCUUCCGGUUGCUGGUGGUGAUGUUAGCCGUGCCAGAUCUUAUGUUUGGUUCAACCUUCAGAAGAUAUAUAUGGUCGAUGUGCUUUCAACGCCCUUUACUCCCAUAGUGGUUGACUUAAUGUGUCUCUUUUGCGGUCUCCAUGCUCGUGGAGUCUUCUGUUGGUAGGGACUGUAGUUCUCGGGUCCAAAAUUUGGUGUACUUCUAUGGUCAUGAUAGAGCUUCCUGAAGAGGUGUACGCCGUCGGAACACGAAGAAGAUGAAGUAUAGGGACCUAGUGGUGUGCUUUAAUGCAAUUUUAUUUUAUGUUAAGGCCUCAGUUAUAAAAGGGGUUUUGAUUUAAUAAAAUCCAAUUUUUUUCUCAAAUAAAAAGGGAGUAAUCUAUCUAGUACCACUCCAAAAAAUUUGAGAGAGUUCCGUCCACCAGCCCUUGGUGCACGCGCCUGCUCGGCCUGUGUACGUGCCAACCACGGCCACUAGAGGUUUACGUGCCUGGCUAAGCCUCGGAUUCACGGAGUUGGCACUAGUACAGUUCUAACGCCGGCGCGGGGUAAAACAUUUCUACAUGCGGUUUUAGUUAUAAUGCGCCUGUAUUGAAAAUUUGUACGGCUAGAAUUGAAAACCGUCUGUAUAAAAGGCUCAGUACAGACGGUUAUUGUAAGAAAACCGCCUGUGUAAAUGGUCCAUUUACACAGGCGGUCGUGUUAUGUGAACCGCCUGUGUUAAUAGAUUUGCACAGGCGGCCGAACCGCCUGUGUAAAUGGAUCAUUUACACAGGCGGUUCAGUUAUGCGAACCGCCUGUGUUAAUGGAUUUACACAGACGGUUCACAUAACAAACCGUCUGUAAUUUAUCUUCCUAUAAAUACCCCAGAACUCUUUCUUUCUCCUCGGGCAGAACUGUAGGUAGCAGCCACAUUCCAUUGGAGCACAUCUUGAAGAUCCAGUUUUUCUAAAAUACAAGGGGGAGGUUUUGAUCUUCAUUUCUUGGAAGGAGGUGGCUAAGAAAGCUUAGUUGAUGCCUCUAAUGCCUCUUUUUGUGCCCUCUUGCUCAAUUUGAGCUACUUUUUGGAUCUAGGGUUUCACCAUGAGAGAGAGAGUAGAAUAGCUAGGUAUGGUCUAUUUUGCUCAAAUAAAGUUGCUUAAGAUGGAUAUAUGAUGUCUCUCCUAUCUUCUUUUUUAUGUUUACUUCUCUAAUUUAUGAAUCCAAAAAAUAUAUAUGUAGUAGUUUCCAUGAAUGGUGUUUCCAUGCUUGGGAGAGAAAGAUAAGUUUUCUUUUUAGUUUUUUAAAUUAUAUGGUUUAGGAUGUUAUUUUUUAUGUAAAUUUGAUUUAAUUAUGCGAUAAGCAUUUUUUAUAUAUGAGGUUGCUGCAGAUGUUGCCUCUCCUCUCACCAUUUCCAUGUUUCCUUCUCAAAUUUUUUAGUGAUAUAAUAUAUUUAGUUUCAAUCAACAGUGUUUUUGUACCUUGUCAAAUUUAUUUUAGUGAUAUAAAGAUAUAUAUUUAUGGUUUUGUCUUUAUUUUUGAUACUUGUUUUACUUUUUCAAUUUGAUUUAAUUGUUAGGUGUUCUUUUAUUUUUGAUAACAGAUAUUCGUAGACAAUAUUUCAAUUAAUUUACUAACUUUUCAACAGGUCAAAAUACAAGGUUUGAGGUUUUGAUCUUCAUUUCUUGGAAGGAGGUGGAGGUGGCAAAGAAAGGUAAGUUUUCUUUUUAGUUUUUUAAAUUAUAUUGUUUAGGAUGUUAUUUUUUAUAUAAAUUUGAUUUAAUUAUGCGAUAAGAAUUUUUGUGCCCUCUUGUUUAAGAUGUUGCCUCUCCUCUCACCAUUUCCAUGAUUUCUUUUUCAAUUAUUAAUUGUCCUAAAUAAUUAUUAAAUGUGUAUGAUGUUUUAUUUUUCUUAUAUACAUUAUGCAUAUGCUAAGUAGUUAUUAUUUAUUUUUUAUAAUGCAAUUAUUUAUAAUGCAAUUAUUUAUAAUGCAAUUAUAUAUAUAUAUAUAUAUGUAUGUAUAAAAAUAAUAAACAAUUAAUAUUUUCUUUUAGUUUAAGUGUUGGAUAUGCUAAACCCUAAACCCUAAACUCUAUAUGCAUAUGCUAAGUAAUUAUUAUUUCUUUCUUUAUAAUGAAACUAUUUAUAAUGCAUGAUGCAUAUGCUAAGUAAUUAUUUGAAUAGAUUAUCACGAUGGCUUCUCCAACCCCAAACCAAGCGUCAGGGUCUGACCGCAUCGACCAAGCACCGGCAAAAGGUUCGGACCACACAGAGAAGGUGCAAGUGUCACACAGCACCGAGCAAGCGCAAGGGUCGGACCACACGGAGAAUGCAAAAGAACGUGAAUCAAGUCCUUCGUACGAGACCUCCCCUAGCGACAUUCCAGAUCCUCGUAUAGAGAGGAACGCUCGUCGUGAAUUAGAACGUGACCCUGAUUACAUUCCAGAAGUAGAUGAGGUGAUGAAUUACUCAUCCAUAAUUAAAUCUUUCUAACUUUUAUGUCCUUCAGUAUAUGUACAAGAAUGAUUUAUGUGUUUAACUUUUAACAUGAACAGGAGGUGUUAUCUCACUUUCAUGAGCUGAAAGAGAUCCUAUCCUAGGAAGAAUUCACACAUGAAGGUGCACCCGAACCGACGACGGAGACAACCACCGAGAAGACUGAUGAUAGGAAAAGGAAACGAGGUGACAGAGGAUUGAAUCAGUUUCCAAAAGUCACAUUUAGAAUUACAGAUGUGAGCCCGACAGGACAACCCCUAGCUCCUCCAGAGGCCUUACCUAAGUGGCGUAACGCACUUGGAUUCUUAGUUAGGGACCAUCUUGACAUCACAAUCAGGGAGUGGGCAAAUGUGGACCAAAAUGAAAUCACAAGAAUGUGGGACAAGCUACUUACAAGGUUUGUUUUACCUCAGGGUUCAGAAGACCUAGUAAAGGAGUACACAUUGAAGCAGUGGGGAAUCAUGUUUAGGAAUUACAAGUCCGAGUUGAAUUCUAAGUGGGCAAAGAAAGGGUUGGACCCGACAAAAAGGUAUAAAAUCACUGCUGGUCAGUGGGCGGUGUUUCUAAAGUAGAGAAGUACCGAGGAGUUCAAAGCUUUGAGCGAAUCUAAAUCCAAGCUCGCAAAAAGGAACAAGUACCACCAUCAUCUAGGCACAGGUGGUUAUCAGUGCAAGCUUGCCCAAUGGGAGCAAGAGGAUGAAGCGCAGAGGGCUAAGGGUCUGUCAGCGCUCCCUGACCAACUUUGUCGCAGGGGCUCGAGGUGGAUUCGUGCUCGUGUACCGGCAAAGGAAGCCAAGUUUGGUUUAUCAUUUUCUGACCCAAUGGUCGAAGAGGCAGUGAAGAAUAUUUUCGCUGUGGCAGCUAAGCAGCAAGCGGGCGAAUUUAAGCCUCAAAGAGAGAAAGAUGUCCUUACUGUUGCUCUGGGUAACCCAGAGCAUCCUGGUCGUGUACGAGGCAUCUCAUCAAAAGAAGGAUGGAAAGAAGGCUUCGGACCAGAGUGGGAAGCAAUGUAUAGGAAACGGGAUCGCUACAAGGCAGAAAUAUCUAAUUAUUUUAAGGAGGAGGCUAAGAGAGAAGUCGAAGAGGUGAUGCCUAAAAUCCUCUCCAAUCCUCCUCCUGAGUUGAUGCAACGAUUGGCGACCGUAAUGUCUAGCCAAUUAAGUGGCCAGCAGCCUCCUCAAAUGCACCUGUCGUCGUCCCGACAACAACAGAACAAGCUCCGGUCGUCCCGAGUAGUAUUGCCUCUACCGGAGACAAGGUCUGCUAUCCAGUUGAUGAGAUCGAUAGUCCUGUGCCUUGCUCCCUAGUCAUAAGGUAUGGUUUUAACAAUAACCGUACAAGGGAAGUAGCCACAGGACUUGCGAUCCCGGGGCGUCAAUUCCAUGGUAGUGAGAUCCCUGAGGACUACUGCAGGGUGGAAGUGUUGACAGUUGUCCAAGGAUAUGAGAACGACAUGCUAGACAUUCCCAGUCCCGAGGGCAUUGAGAAACUGGGACAAGCUAUCAAGAAUUUUAUUCUUUGGCCUCGACAGGACGUCCUGCUGUCUCAGGUACCAGAACCAUCACCCCGAGAAGUGCCGCAGACUCAGGAGUCAUCCCAUCCCACAUCUCUUCCCACUCCACCAACCUCUCCAAUCUUGCAUCCACAAUCCCCACCACCACCACCAUCACCAAUAAUGCCUCAACCACCAUCCCCACCACCAUCAAAACCCACUCCCCCACCAUCACCUAAACCCCAGGCUUCACCACCAUCACCUAAACCCCAUGCUUCAACACCGCAAUCUUCCACACCACCGGCACCCAAAAAUGAUGAUAAGACACCACCGCAAGCAAUGAAAACAAAAUUCUCGGUCCCCAAAUUGGUUUCCCCGUUCGAGCCAAAGAAGAAGGCCGCUGGUACGGCCCUAUUUUUGUCCGGAAUUGCAAGGAGCCGCACUUCAAAACUUGUUGACUUAGCAGAGCAUGAGAAGGAGGGGUCAAAAAGCUGUGAAACACGUAUUGUCAAUAUCAGGCCACCAACGAAGGAUGAUUACAAAUUUGUCCCUACUAAAUAUGAGUCAGGCAGACCACUACUUAGUUGGGACAAACUCAAAAAGAUCCCACCUGGUAUAAAAAGGAUGCAUGACUGGUAUAUGAGAGCAGCUUCUGUAGGCAUUGACACGAUCAAUGUGAUUAUACCACCAACAGCAUUCAACAGUGAGCGUACAAAGGCAAUCGUUACAUUCGAGGACAUGUGGCUAAUGAUGAACCUGCAGAGACUAGACGUGCAGCUGGUAACCGUGUUUGCAUUGUAAGUGUCACUCGUACUAUCUUGUGUUAUUAUUCAUGAGUUGCAUCAAUUUUCAACAUCUAACGUACAAGUGCUCAUUGCAGAAUGAAUUUUGAACAACAAGAGAUGCGGUACGGUUCAGAUCCGGAUAGGUCUACCAGUAAAAGGGUUGCGUAUCUGAGCCCGAUGAAGAUAUGCGAGGAGCAGCACAACUUCAGAAUCGGAGACAAACAUGACUCCUUAGAAGGUUUGGACCCCGCUGAGCGUAAGAAGAUAAUAGAUGAAAGUCGACUAGAUUAUGAAUGUAAAUACGACCUCUACAUAGCCUUGGCACUGCUCAAGUAUCAAGAUCGAGAAUGUGUUGUUGCCCCAUACAACUUUGGGUAAGUGUCAAUUUGUAUUCAUCGUCGUAUUAGUAAUUUCAAUGGGCACUUACAUCAUAAUUUCGAUUCUCUCAGGGACCACUGGAUCUGCCUCCUCAUUAAUCCUAGUCUAGGACGUGUCCUAGUCCUAGACUCUGCAGACUAUGAUCCUUCAAGUUAUGCAAAAUUCAUUACACACUUGGAACGGUAAGCUGAGUACAUUAAAUAUUCAUACCUACUUUUAUAAGAGUUUCAGAAUAACUUGAGGAUUGUGUAUUCGAUACUAUAGGGCCUAUAGGUAUUAUAAGAUCAAAGGUGGAAGGUGUGAUUCAUCAGAACCGGGGCAGCCAUCGAGAUUAUUUUAUAAAUGGCCGGUACGUACCAAAAUAUCACAAGCUGUCUUUUAUAAAUAUAAUAUGCAUAUGACGAUGUUGCAACUAAUAAAUAUCCACUUUUUAGUCAUACAUCAGUGCCAUAAGCAACCAGUCGGAUCGGUCCACUGUGGAUUCUACGUCUGCGAGUUCAUGAGAGAGACCGGAAGAUAUGUAACUAACCCUUCUAAGGUAUUGCUCUAAUAGUCGUUUAUAUUAUUUGUGUCAUUUUUUGUUGCUAAGCAUGUGUUAUAUGAACUAUAAAUUUAUGAUGUUUCUAACUUCCUCUGCAACAACAUGAGUUGGAAAAGGCGAAGAGCGUGACUCAAGCUGUUCUAUAUAACAUAGUUGAGGACCUCUGCACUUUUCUCUUGAGAGAAGUCAUUCCCACCGAAGGGAAAUAUCACGACCCGACCAGCGUCCUAGCAAAGCCUGAGUUUAGAGCGCUAAGAGAUAUUAGUAGGCUAAAGCUAUCUCGAUCGGGUUACUAGAGCAGAGGUUUCAGAUGUGAAACCUCAUAUGUCUGUAAACAAAAAACUUUGAUGUGUGAUGUUUGUAAUUAAUAUAAUUUUAUGUACAAAGUAAUGGUAUAUAUAAAUAUAUUGCAUGUUGCAUUGGUUGAAUCUUGUAGGCUAACAUAGUUUCAAUAUUAAUGUAUAUAAUAUUAAAAAUAGGGUUUGCUGGAAAAUAGGGUUAAAUUGGAAAAUCUUACCACAGGCGGUUCUGUUAUGAGAACCGCCUGUACAAUCCAAUUUCUACAGGCGGUUCUCAUAACAGAACCGCCUGUAGAAAUUUAUUUCCACAGGCGGAUCGCAUAACUGAACCGCCUGUAGAAAUCGGUUUCUACAGGCGGUUCUCAGUUAAUCGCCUGUGAAAACUUUUAUUUCCACAGGCCUAUAGCCACUGGCGGUUCGUCAAUCCGCCUGUACAAAGGGGUUGCGAACCGCCAGUAUAGUAUCUCUCUGUACUACUGUGGGCCUUAUUUAGUUCACCCCAAAAUUUAAAAAAAAAUUAAGAUUCCUCGUCACAUCAAAUCUUAUGACACAUGCAUGAAGCACUAAAUAUAAACGAAAAACAAAAACUAAUUGCCUUGUCUAUAAUUUAUGAGACGAAUUUUUUGAGCCUAGUUAGUCUAUAGUUGAACAAUAAUUAUCAAAUAUAAACGAAAGUGCUACAAUGUCAAAAUCCAAAAUCUUUUCAUAACUAAAUAAGGCCUUGAUUUUGGUGCAUUGACCAAGAUGGAGAUGAAAUCUGAGAUAGACUUCUGGUUCCUGCGCUAUUGUGCCGCUUCACACUCAAGCACUAGGCGCGUGUCCCGCGGAGGAAAAAAAAUGGGUAAGGACUAUCUCUACCACGAUGUGUGGUGCGGAUUGUUCGACCGACAUGUGGAUCAUCGUACCAUUUUAGUCACAUGCAUGUUAAGGUCUUGUUUAGUUCCAAAAAGUGUUAAAAAAUUUCAAGAUUCUCCGUCACAUCGAAUCUUACGACAUAUGUAUAGAGUAUUAAAUAUAAACAAAAAUAAAAACUAAUUACACAGUUUAUCUGUAAUUUGCGAGACGAAUCUUAUGAGCCUAGUUACUUCAUUAUUGGAAAAUAUUUGUUAAGGCCCUGUUUAGAUUGGAGAUGAAAAAUUUUUGAGUGUCACAUUGGAUGUGUCGAAAUAAUAUCGGAAGGGGUUUUUAGAAACUAAUAAAAAAAUAAAAUACAUAGCUCGUCUGAAAACUGCAAAACAAAUCUAUUAAGCAUAAUUAAUCUGUCAUUAGCACAUAUAUGUUACUGUAGCACUUAAUUCUAAUCAUAAACUAACUAGCGUUAAAAAGAUUCGUCUCACGAUUUUUAACCAAACUGUAUAAUUAGUUUAUAUAUAUAUGUGUAUAUAUAUUUAAUGUUCCAUGUAUGUGUCCAAAGAUUCGAUGGGAUGGAUGAAAAUUUUUUUGGUAAAAACUAAACAGGGCCUAAAUACAAACGAAAUGCUACAGUAGCGUUUGCCAAAAUUUUGUAGCAACUAAGGCCUUGUUUAGUUCCAAAAUAUUUUACAAAAUCGACACUGUAGCUUUUUUGUUUGUAUUUGACAAAUAUUAUCCAAUCAUAGACUAACUAGGCUCAAAAGAUUCGUCUCGUCAAUUUCGACCAAACUGUGCAAUUAGUUUUUAUUUUUAUCUAUAUUUAAUACUUCAUGCAUGUGUCUAAAGAUUCGAUGUGACGGGGAAUCUAAAAAAUUUUGCAAAAUUUUUUGGAACUAAGAGCAUCUCCAACAACUCCCUAAACUAGGUUGGUAUUCUUAUAACUUGGGCAAAAUUAUAAUUUUCUUUCUCCAACAAUUCCCUAAACUAGUUUGGUAUUUUUUCCAACUUGCUAUUCUGGGCCUUCGCGCGCGCAAACAUCCGCGCGCGGCUUGAGCUUUGUAUCGGUGCUUUGGCUGCUGCUGCUCGGUGAAAGUGCUACUCGAUCAGGUCUGUCCUGUCACCGAUCGGUGAAAGCGCUGCUGCUGCUGCAUUCGGCUACUGUGAGAAGGAGCAGAUUCGGUGGCCGGCAGGUUCUGAUUCGGUGGCAGCAGAGUAGGGCCUUGUUUAGUUCCUAAAAAAAUUUGCAAAAUUUUUCAGAUUUUCCAUUACAUCGAAUCUUUAGACAAUUACAUGAAAUAUUAAAUAUAGAUAAAAAUAAAAAUUAAUUGCACAGUUUGGUCAGAAUUGACGAGACAAAUCUUUUAAGCCUAGUUAGUCUAUGAUUGGACAAUAUUUGUCAAAUACAAACGAAAAUGCUACAGUGUCGAUUUCCUAAAAUUUUUUGGAGCUAAACAAGGCCGAGUCCUAUGUGGGCCUAUUUUUGAUUUACCAAGUAUAGAAUAGGGAGUUGUUGGAGACACAUGUUUUUUUCACUUGCAAAACAUUUUACCAAGUUGCUAAAACUCUAUAUAUAGCAAGUAAAUUUUAGAGAGUUGUUGGAGAUGCUCUAAACAAGGCCUAAACAAGGCCUAAAUCAGAUACCGUAUGUCCCUAUGAUCCACGCGUCAGCUGCACAUGGUGCGGACCAUCCGUCGUACCAGAUACCCUCCCCUGCAUGCUCCAUGCGAACUACGCGCAGCCAAAAUAACGGAGGAAGCAGUAGUGUUUCCUGCAUGCUGCUGCAUGCAUGUUUCAACUCCACGAUGAAGGAAUGAGGCGUUUCUUUAACUCGACUGCAUAUUUUAUACUCUUCCCAUUCCAAAAUAAAUGGUGUUACAUGUCGGACAAACUUUCUUAAAUUUGUAUCUCUAAAUUUAAGUUUACUAUAAAAACAAAUUUAAUAAUUUAUCUAAUGUUACUAAUUAUGUAUUAUAUUUUGCUCGCAAAAAAAAUUUAUGUAUUAUAUUUUUUAUAUAUCUCCACUAUAAUUGAAAACUUCUUGGGCCGUUAGACCAGACAAACUCACGCCCCAACAAACUCAUCGCAGCCCACUAAUUCAGCCCGCUAAUCUCCACCAUAAUUAGGUCAAAACACGCAUCUGGCUCGAGGAGUGAAUUUUGCAUGCAUGCAUGCAGGAGACAGUUUCUGUCGCAAAAAUAUUCUACUACUGGAGUAAUAAAUCUUUUUGCUGAGAUUUUCGUUGAUCUUUUUUUAAUAAUAAAUAAUAAAUAGCUGCAGUAGCCGGUAGGUGUUGUAUAUGGUAGUAAUAAAUCUUUUUGCUGAGAUUUUGGUUGAUCUUUUUUUAAUAAUAAAUAAUAAUAGCUGCAGUAGCCAGUAGGUGUUGUAUAUGGUCCCUACUGGAGUACAUACAGGAGAAAACGUUUUUUCUCCAAAGGCCAUCCUGGUUACGGUACGUGACAUGUACCGUGAUCAUAGAUCGACCUUAGUAUAUCCGUAUUCAAGUACUACUAUAGGUUACACGUAUACGUACCGGAUCGGAUCCGGGCGACGCAGUGUGGAAGACGCCGUGGCAGCCGGCAACGGCCGACCCCAGCGCGUCGUAGUCGAGCAGGUCGGCCUUGCACAGCGCCAGCCUCUCCGCCGCGUCGGGGAGCGCCCUCAGGUGCGCGUUCUUCAAGCGCGAAAUUUUUUUUCCUGUAACACUGGACGGUAGGGAGACUGUGAUUAGCAAAUUUGAGUUUAUUAGCGUACACAUCGACCAAGCAAUCCCCAUUUCCAGGUACAUUAGUCGGGUACCCAGACCGACCCCUCUUCUCCUUUAUUUGUCUGUAAGUGCAUUAUUUGUGUCUGUGCAAGUAUGCGCCGUGCUUAGGUGUUGCCUCUGCUGCAUGUCACUAGCUGUUCUUGACUUGAUUAGGUCCCUGACGGCAACCUCAAAUGAGUAGCAGUAUUCUGAUCUAAAUGGUAAGUUUUAGAUAUAGGUUGAGAUGGGUGAUGGGUGAUUUCUGAACCUAUAUGCAUAUACAUCUAAAUGGUUGCAUAUUUCUGUAGUGAGUAACUAAUAAAAGUGUAUGAGGUCAUAGUAUGAGUCUCUGACUAAUCAUGCAACGCCUAAUGAUAAAAUUCAUGAAUGCCCUUUUGCAGUUCCUUUUUCUUCAUUCAGGAGACUUCAAUGUCUACACCUAGACAUACACGCGAUGUGCUAAGCGACAUCACCAACGUCACAAGUAUGCUUUUUAAUAAUUGGAUGUUUUUUCUAAUUUUGUAAUCUAAUCCGAAUUUGUCAAAAUUCUUGUUAAAGAUGAGGUCUCGUCGAGGCGGGCCCAAACAUCGCAAGGUCGCAAUCGUCGUGCUGAGAUUACCAAUGAACGAAGGGAGGAGAUAAAUAGGAGACAACGUGAGUUUCAGCGUGAUCGUCGAGUGAGGAUGACUGAAGAAGAAAAGGAAGAGAGCAAGAGGAAACAACAUGAGAUUGCCGCCGAUAAUUAGUGUAAGCACAUGCAGUCUUCAACUAUAUUUGCGUCAAUGAACGAUUAAAUAUUGACAAAAUAUUAUCUGUCAUUCACAGCUAUCAAGAUCACUAAGGACGGAGUUCUUGGCUGAAAUUUUGGCGAGUCCUGCAAACGAGUGCUACGACAACAUUUCUGAAGAUAUCUAAUAUUUGAUUAAAAAGUUAGAGAAAAUAUAAAGAUGUCUUUAUAUACUGAUGAUUCAUAAAAUGUAUAUAGACUUAAAAAUAGUUACCCAAAAUUAAAACUCUAAAAAAAUUACUAUAGCAUUCUCUAGAAAAAACCGUGGCGUUAGCACGGGCAUUAUACUAGUCUGAUUAAAGUUAAAAGUGUUUGACUCCAUGAAAAAAUGUGGCAACGCAUAUAUAGUAAUAUAUUUAUCAGUAAGGAAGGCAGUUGGCAAGAGAGAGAAGGCGAGGCAGUCCAAAAUUAGAUCAGGGAGCCCAGAAAAGAUUAUAUGAGAUCGCCAUGCCAGAACAUGGGGGAUUUGACUGGCCCAUGUGAGCAUAGAUAGCCCGAUGGGUCGACCCAAGAACAAUCAACAAUCUAUGGGCCGCCAUGCGCGAGUUUAUGUGGAAGUUGACGCUGGGUAAGGGAACAAUCCACAAAGGCACGAUCACGACGCUGAGGCGCGAGGGAAUGCAGUGAAAAUGUGGAGAUAGAUUUACUUGUAUGUCCCUCAGAAAAAUCUUCUUUGUAUGUUUUUUUAAACUUCGGUCCUCAAACAAACUUUCAUUCUUUCUAUAGUCUUCCAUUCGUCUUCAGCAUGAAGGGUAAAAAGACCAUAAUAUCCAUAGCGUAAAAAAAUUGCAAAGUUUAGUUUGUUUCUUGUAUAAAUGAAUUUUUUUUGCAUAUAUUGUAUUGUACUGUGAUGUUGUCCAAAUAUUUACUGUGAUUCAAAUAUGUAUUGUUAUAAUGUCCAAAUUGUUAAUUUAUUUGUUUACUAUUACUCAAAAUAUACAAGAAACAAACCAAACUUUACGAUUUUUUUUCACGUUAGGGGCAUUAUGGUUUUUUUACUCUCCACUUAACACCGUUAAGUGCUGAAACGGAGGAAAGACCAUAGAAGAAAGUUCAAAAAAAGAGCUAUACAAGGAUGAGGCAUUUUUUAGGGUCAUACAAGUAAAUCUCUCAAAUGUGAACGCUUAGAGCAUCUACCAACUGUUUGGCAAAAUUCGUUUCCCAAAUUUUGUUGUUUGCCAACUUCCAAAAUAAUAUGAGGAAAAAAAGAUAUCAUCUCCAACAGUUUGGUAAAUUUUAUUUCAAAAAACCAAAAAAACCCGCUAAUGAAACAGAGAGCCCCGCUAAGCGAACGAAAAGCCCUGCUAAGCGAACGAAGACCCCCGCUAAGCAUAAGGAGAAAGACCCCGUGUAUAUUUGCGCGCUAGACAGGAAGAUAUGCUAAGUUAGAAAAGAUGUGAAAUUAAGAUGUCAAACUGUUGGAGAGAGUUUUUUUCAUUUUACUAAAAAAAAUUAUGGAUGAGAAGUCAUUUGCUAAAAUUGGAGAGAUGCUCGAGGGCCACGCUGGGCAAGCCCGGAUGACGCAACAAGAAUGUAGGGUACUACUCCACAACACAGAUGCACGGUUACUUUGUAUUGUACGCCGCCAUAGACAGCGCCUUUGGCUUCGCGAGAAUGGUUUGGAUCGAUCGAGCACAUUAAUAUUCAAGUCCACCCCACGUACAACGAACGCAUUCCAUGCAUCAUCAUGCAUCAGAUCGAUAAACACAGACAGACAGAGUGACAGACACACAACCCGCCCGAAUUCAGCAAUAUGCAUGCAUGCAUGAUCGAUGCGCGCGCUGCACGCACGUCGUCUAGAUCUUCGCGGCCUCCUUCUAAUCUGUGUUGAUUAGUUGGCGGCCACUUCGCUCGCGACGACGGUGGCAGCGGUCUGUUCGUCGGUGCCGGUGGUGGUCUUCUCCUCCGCCGACGGCGGUGCUGGGACGACGGCCGCCUCCUCCGCCUUGUGCUCAUCGACCGCCGGUUUGGCCUCCACGGGUUCCGUGGUGUUCUGCAUCUGCCCAGCUGAUUCCCCUGCAGAAUUAACCGUCAGCUUCAUCACUAUGUAAUUAGAGCUAACAAUAUCAAAUCAACAGAUUGUAUAUAUGAGAUUAUUAGGAGUAAUAUGUUAAUAAAUCGUACUCACCAUCCUCAUUUGUAGGAGCAGGCGACGUGGCCUUGUGCUCCUCCUCUUCGAGGUUUUUGCUCUCAACCGUCUUCUCCUCCUCCUCCCCGUCGUCUUUGAGUUUGAGUUUGAGUGGUGCUAACUCCUUGGUGCCCUCCUCCUCCUCCACAGGUGCCUCGUCGGCCAUGGUGGAUUCAGGAAGCAGAUCCUCCUCCACCACCGCUACCACCGUGUUGUCCUGCUGCUCAGGUUCAGGUUCUGGUUCUGGCUCUGGCUCGGCCGCCGCGGCUUCGAUCGCCAUGCCGUCGGCGGGAGUAGGAGCAGAAGCGACGCCGACGUCGACGUCCUUACUGACCACCACGGCCUCCUCUUUCUUGGCCUCCACGACGACGGCAGCAGCGGCGGCGGCAGGAGUAGGAGCAGAAGAAGCGACGUCGUCAGCGACGACGACAUCCUUAUUAACGAAGACCACCUCCUCCUCCUCCUCCUCCUGUUUCUUGACCUCCACGACGGCAGCGGCGGCGGCGGCGGCGGCAGGAGCAGAAGUGACGUCGUCAGCGACGACGACAUCCUUAUUAAGGACCACCACCUCCUCCUCCUCUUUCUUGGUCUCCACGACGACGGCAGCGGCGGCGGGCUUCUCGAGGGACAUCACCACGAUGGCGUCUCCCUGCUUCGAGUCGACAGAGACAGGCUUCUCGGCGUCGUCGGCGGACGUCACCUCGCCGGCUGCUACCUCCGCAUCCUUCACGACGUCGUUGACGGCGACGCCGGUUGUGUCGUUGCCGGACGACGACGUGGAGGAGGUAUGGCUUGCGCCGGUGGAGACGACGGAGGACUUCCUCCGGAGGAGCUUGCCGCCGCCGGCGCUGGUAGUGGUGUUGCCGGUGGCCACGGCCUCCUUGGAGCCACCGCAACCCAUGGCCGGCCGGCGCUGGCGACGGCCGACGCCGACGCCGACGCCGGGAGGAAGAGAGAUCGGUGGGUGAACGUAGAAGGAACGGACGGAGGAGAGGGAUCGUCGCGUCGGGGCGUGCUUGAAGGAUCGGAGGCAAAGAGACGCCGCGGUGGCACGCCCGCUUUUAUAGGACAAGGACAGGGACGGAACGGAAGGACACGACCCGACGGCCGACGUGCCCGCACGGCGUGCAACGCGACUGCACUACAGGCUCGCAUUCACACGGCGUGGAAAAGUCAACCUCAACCUGACGAGUGUGGGCAAACACAACCACAACCACAACCAAGGGGCAUAUUGUUGGUUGCCAACGCAUCGUUUCGUUGCGUUGCAUGACGUGCCGCCCAGUUUUCUCCCUCAGAUGCUCCGUCGUCUGCCGGCGAGCCGGCCGCCGGAAUGCAGUUUGUUUUGCCAGCCACUAACUCGUCGUUUGGCGGGCUUCAUUAGUCACCCGUCAACUUCAUCGGCCGGCGACAGGCCAGCCGAUUUUGGAGGUACAUAUUUAUACAAUGCCAAUCUGUACUGCCAUAGUAGCAUCACAGGGAAGAUUUUAUAAUCUUAAUAACGACCUAGUUGACAAGGUCCAUAAACUGUACUCUUCAUAGUUUCUGUUCGUAUUGUGACAAGAACAAGGGGAACCAUGCAAGGAGAACAUGAAGGAUCAAGGAUAUGAUCUCCUGGUGGCUUUCCAGGAGUCUCGAAUGAUUCCAACUCUUAUCUCUCGUGUCGGCUUCUUGCUCAGACAAACCACUCUACAGCUCUAUAUAGCAAGUAAAAAUUGCGCUGCUCUAUUUAUAUACACUACAGUAAUUAUCACCGUAAGUCCUAAGAUGUAUGCAGGUUCAUCUGACUAAUGUGACGAUCGUGACGUAACAGUAGUUUCACUCUGACAAAGUAACCCAGGUUCAGGGACUCAGCGGCUCCAAGAGAGAUCAGCAACGGCCCAGGUGCUUCAUUUCAAAUUCACAGUCCUCAUAGGUGCAGAAGGUAACCGAGCGAAAUGCCAACAACUGCCAUGUAGAUGACGAAAAGCAGGGGGAAACCGGUGCUGGACUGACUCCGUGCAGCGCCCGCCCUUUUCAAUAACACCUAUUUAAGAGGUGCAAUCCGUUAGAGAUGAACGCAGGAAACAGUACACUUGCAAAGAAAACUGCUUACAAGUGAAAAGCUAUUGUAGCAAGCUACUGACUCGAGUUGUCAAACAAUAUACAGGAAGCAACCAGGGGUGGACUCCCAGCAGCUGUAGGAAGAUGAGGGGAUCCCCUCCUAACAUUUUUAUGGAUCCACCCCUAUAAGUAACUGGAGAUCAUAAAGCAAUAUGCACUUCAGAGUUCAGACUCAUGGUUGUGAACAUUGAUAUGGAGAUACUCCAAAAGCAUACAUAGUUAAGGAUGCUUCUUUAGUUCUUUAUUAAACAGGACACAGUUUGGAAUUCAAUAAUAAGGAUACUUGGGACCAAAGUGUUUAAAGUUGUAAAUUAGAAAAUUAAAGAAAUAUUUAGCCUAAUGCAAGAAAAAAAAACCUGCAGUUGAGAGCCUAUUAGUCUGGUCAGGUGCUACCCUUCACCAUUCAAUACAUAGAACAACUUGCACAUGCCAAGAGUAGCCCUUAUUUGGGAUUGUAAAUUGGGGCCACAGUUCCAAGUGAUUAGAUGAGAGAAAUGGAACUACAGGUUUGGUUGUUAAGAAGUUAUUAGAACACCAUAAGUCGGCUAAGAACAAACAGAACAACGUCCCAGCAUGGUAAGUCAGCUCUCAGAUAUGGCAAGCUGGAAGACUAGUGAGACUUGCUACAUAUCUUGUAGAUCUAUGACAGAAUGCUGCCCCCAGUUGACUGUCACAUAGCUUCAAAUGGGCAUAGGGACGAAAAGCAUGGCAGCCCUUAGCCAAAUUCAAACAUAUGUGUAUGGAAAGCUUAUAUUUGUCGUUUAACAGCUUCAGUUAUCAUGAAAAUGGGCACAGAAGAAAGUUACUGCAAAAUGGUUUAUUUUUAAGAGUUCUCUUGCUUGUACUAUAAGUUAACAUCUUCAUUACUCGAUGGAUUCUCCCACUCCAGUGCGUGCUACUUCUCUCCUUAAGCUGCUCUCUCCUUUUAUCAACUUAUGAAGCCUAUUGAUCUUGAUGGUCUUUAUCAAUACAAUAAAAUUUUACCAUCUCUUUCCGCAAUUUAUCCCGCUCUUGGAUGGUAGCUCUGUUUGCUUCCCUCAAUUUUACAAUCAAAGUUUUAGCCUACAAAAGAGGAUGAUGCAACAAUGUAGCAUUUCAGAAAAGGGCCCUCUUAAGAUAUUCAAAAUUCAACAAUCAAACACAAAUAUUUGGCACUAUAUAUUUCUUACCUCUUCAAGUUUUACUUCAAGGUUGUUAAGUUUCAUCGGUAAAUUUUGAACAUCUUUGGUUACCUGCUAAAGGGGUAAUAAAUAGAAUUAAACACGUCAGAAGUUAAGAAGUGAUGAUUGGUAACCAAGUGCCUGUAUUUAAUAUUCAUCACCAAGACAAACUGACAAAAUAUAGUAAUGGAUUGUUAAUAAGCUAAACAGAUGUAGCAGAACAUGAACAAUACUUGGAAAAUAAGAUUACCUGAGGUAUAUGAACAUUAUCAGCACUGGUAGAUUCUUUAUCACUUAACGAUGGAACUUCACUUGGAGCAGGAGUAUAUUCUGGUGGUGGAGAUUCUUUCAGAUCUACACUUGCUUCUGUUGAAGAAAAGUGAGUUUCUAUAGAGGCAACAGAGGUUUCUUGCAAAUUGGAAGCAAAUUCCAACAAAGUAAAUGAAGUUUGUUUGGGUGGGACUAGAAAAUCUUGCAGGAUAGUAGGGCAUUCGUUUACAGGUGAGGAAUUUUCAUUGAAAGCAGCAGUUUCACUUAAAGAGGGAAAGCUUGCUUUCAGAGAAUUAGGAACUUCAUUCGCCACAUUAGGUGCUUCAUUCACAUUAUCUAGUGUCUGCUCUGUCACAAGAACCCCAGCUGUUUCCUUGGCAUGGGGAACUCCAUUGAUGAGCUGCUGUACUUGAGGCUCUGUUAUGCUGACAGUGACAACUUUCAACUUCUUCUCCUCAAUAUAUUGACCAGUUUCUUUGGAGAACUACAAUGAAGAUUGAGUCAAAGUAAAAUAGAGACAAAGAUGCAAAGAAACAUCACAUAAGCUAAGCAUAACUUGCUGCAUAUACUUACAAAAGCAGGAACAAUGCCCUCAUCAGCUGUACCAAACGGAACAACUGUGGUCUGCACAAGAAACUUGUCUUUUGUUUGCAAAUCAAGUGGAGCAUUCUUUAGCGCUUGCAUAGUAACUACAUUUUAUUUAAACAACAACAUUAAAUAAUAUGACAAAAAAAACAAAGUAAAUUGCACUCUGAAGAAAAACAAAAUCCACCAUGGCAUCUAGGAAACAAUGCCAUCUAGCUUGCACAAUACUCUACUGCUAUGAAUUCUGAGUAUACCAAAGCACCAAUUUCACCAGUAGCCAGUAAAGACAACGUUUACCUGUAAAAUCACGUGAUGCCAAUGGAAGAAUAACGCCUAUAUUUGGUCGAACACAAUAUUUUUUUGGAGAAGUUGUUUUAACCUGUUACAUAUUCAAAUAUCCAAGUCACCGGAACAGAAAUUGGUAUAAAUGCGAAUGUAUGAAAACAUUAGGCCUUAAAUUGUUUCAUCCAAAGAAAAAAUAGAUAGCGUAGUAUGCAUCAAUGAUCAUUGAUCAAACAUUACCCUACAGCAACAAUAUGAGAAAAAUCUUAACUCCAUAGCACAAAAUAACAAUAAUAUAAAACAUAAGAUUGGAGACCAACCUUGAAUGCUACAUAUUGAUCUGACUUAUUAACAAGACGGAUACAACAUGAACUCUUCUUCUUCACCUCAACUGAUAACAAGUGAAAGUCAGAUAAAUAUUCAUUUACAGGUGGUAGAAUAAAUAAAAAUAUGAAAUUACGAUCUUAGACUAACAUUCACUAACCUACAGAUGGUAGAAUCAAUAACAAUAGAAAAUUAUGACGAUAGACUAUAUGAUAUCCUAACAUUCACAAACCUCUGAAGAAUAGCAUGUUAUUCACAAAAAAGGAAAGAAUAGCAUGUUAACAGAAAAUUACUAAACAGUCAUGAAAACUGGAGCUUAUGACUUACUAUGCUCAGUACAGCUUCAUUAAAUUUACCAAUCUAAGAUACUGAUUUUGGCAUAUUCAAAUCUUAUCGAAACACAUAUGAUAUUCUUUGAUCAAAUAAUUUGCUUCAUAGGGGAUAAGAGUAAAUCAGCAUGAUUUGUCAAGAGCGGACCAAAAUUAUUUGACAGUAUUUAGAUUAUGAGUAGCUUCAGAUAAUACAAAAUGGCAAAACCAACCAACCAGGUUAAAGUACAGUUUUACUGUGACAGUUGAUCAUUGUGACAAUUUUCAACCUAAACAAUGAAAAGGCCGUACUAAUAAUAUCACUGCAGAUACCAGUACACAAUAGCAAAACUGUUCAACAUAUGCAACCAUAGCCGGAAAUAACAGUUUCACUGUAACCAAUAACCAACUCUUUCACUCCUGUUUCUGUAAGCAAGGAUAAUACACGGCAAUAGUAGAUUGUUUAUAAGAGUACAGAGUACAUGAUUGUAUAGGCAAGGAUGCUCUAGGGUUUUUGUUUAUAGAAAUGGCACCAUCAGGGAGAUCCUUGCCUAUGCAGUUAUGCCUAUUAGUAAAAACCAAUCUAUAUAUGCAGUAUGAGCCUAUGGCUGGCACAUGGCCGAUGACCCAACCAGAUUAGUCAUCUAACAGUUUCAUUGUCAAUUCACUUUCGGCAACUCAGUAUGUUGCCACAGCACAUAACCAAAAAUUUUUACUCUAGAAUCUCGAUCUCCAGUUUAAACAGAUUCCAAUUAUUCUAUUUCUCAAUUUGGGUCAUAAGAACCCCAACAUUUCCUGUUCAGCUUCACAACGCAUAUGAAACUUUUUCUUUCUUUGACUAAGCUCAUCCAAGUGUAUUCCCAUACAAAACUACCAUCAGCCUUUAGCUCCUUGUUCUAACUACCUGUCCACCUUUGAGUGGUGAGACAGGAAGUCCAAGUAGGUUCCAGCUCUCACCCUUGAAUCAUAAGCAUAAAGGAUUGUUUGGGAACCAGAGAUCUAGAGUCUAGAAUUCUCUACAGAUAUGAACACCAAAAGAAUCAUUCCACUUCCACUAAAAAUAAAGUUAAUCAAUUUCUUAACCGUGAAUGCAUAAAUCAAUUAACACAGAAUAUUAUUAUCUUGCAUGAUCAAUACACAAUGAAUAAUACAAACCAUCUGGGACAAAGGAGAAAAUAAACAAGUUUGCUCCAUUACUACCAUUGGUCCCAAUUAGCCUACAAUUAAGUACAGUGUGAUUGAAUACAGAAGCCUAGUAGAGUCCCUACUAGCCUCUUUCAACACACCUAACAGAAUGUUCUGCUAUUAUUGUUCCCAAACACAAGAAACUGGUGAAUUUACAUCAGAUUAACCUACUUAUCAAAUGAACAUAUGUGACAAGCAGCACAUGCCUGCCCAUUAAAAUACAAAAUUACUUGCAAUAAAAGAACGACCUAUUCCAAUAUCACAUCCAAACACCAGCACUAAACCACAAGCAUGGCUCCAUCCUUUUAACUACAGCUAUACAAAUUCAUGUAUAGAAAAAAAAAGACUAGUAAGUCCAACAUAGGUACCAUGUUACAAAAUGUAAAUGCCCAGUAAGUCUCUAAAUUUUGUAUGUGUUCUGGGGAUUGGGUUAGAACAUGCUUAAAUGGAUCAUGAACAAUCAGUAACUCCUAUGUUACACACAAGUAAAUGUACAAACUCCCAAACAAAAUUUCAAGUUAAAAAGUUGUCUCAUUUGCAUGGUACAAACAAUGCAAACUAUAUUCUAGUUCAAACCUCCAAAAUGGCAGAUAAAACAUACUGUUCCAACAACUAAUGGAGAAAUAUGGAUUCUAUGAUUCCUCCAACCUUUGAAAGGCAGAUUUGUAGUCUGUUACCAACCAUGAAUGGAACACCUUACCAGCAUGAUCCCUUUUAAUCCACUCUCAACACAAGGUAAUUAGUUCACACUGGAUAAAACUGUAGGAUUUUGUUUGUCAAAUGCAUGAUCACUGACUCAUAGGUGCCUUGCGCAACCUCACACAAUCACAGGCACAACCUGCUUCUGUACAGUACAAUUACAGAAACAAACUCAGAUCUGCACUAUUUUACAAAGGUAUCUGGACCAAAGUUACAUGAUAAAGGUUGUCUGUUAGCUCGCUCAAUCUCCUUUGUCACUUAAAACAAACUGGCGGCGUUUCACCUAACACCUCUCUCUGCAUCCUUAUGCAUAUAACACACACUCUGCGCUAUCUGUGACAUACCAUGUUUUCAUCACAAGUGGCAAGCAAAGAAUCAGGGAAUCUAGAAUAUCACUGCUGCAACAAAUGUGCAUAUACAGAUAUGUCACAUUCCUACACGCCAAACUUUAGAACCAUUGACACAACGACAGCACGGGAACUAAUACUUAUUGACACCCCAACCACUAAACCACCUAUUAGCACUAGCACACUUGUUGACCGGAGAACAGAUUGAUCCGACUGAAAGUGCAAAUCAUGUUAUGAAAGUGCUAUGCCACGGUCGGUCUGGUCCUUAAAUUUGUUGCACAAACCUCCUCACGCAAUCGCAAAUAAUAAUAAGAUUAUCUUGACUGUCGUACAUUCUAAGGUGCAAAUCGAAAUCGAAGCAUGGAUAGUUAAACCCUUACGCAAACACGCUGACCCACCCGCCCCGUCAAAAACCCAAUCCGACCCAAGCAUUGAUUGCAGCAUCAUGAGAAAUCAACCGGAAACUUAAGCGCCAGCGGAUAAUCACAGACCCCGCCCACGAUCAGAGGCCAAUGCAUCAGGCAAAUAAACCCGCCAGGUCAGGGAUGGAUCGUGGCGACUGAAUCACUCACUGAACUCGAGCCUUCAUUGGGCUGAAGAGGAGGGGGAGGGGUCAGGGAACGAGAAGAGGGGCACGUACCGAGGAAGCGGAGCUCGCCGGGGUGGAUCUCGACGAGCGCGUCCUCGCUGCCCAUCGCCACCUCCCCGGCCGCGCUGGCUAGAGGGUAGAGAGGACGGACGCAGAGAGAUGGAAGCAGCUGCUCUGCGUGCGGAGCGGAGAAAAGGCUGGACCGGUGGAGAAAGACACAGACUGGGCGCGGACGGGGGAUGCCACUCCGCCGCCUCCCACAACUCCACGAGUCCCCGUCAGCCUCCCCGAGACGCCCGACUGUUUCGGGCCUUCGGCGACCGCCAAAAUGCAGUUUUCUGUUGCCUGGGGCUUCACACUAAAAAUCAAAAAGUUUUUAAGAUUUUUCGUCACAUCGAAUCUUUCGGUAUAUACAUGAAGCAUUAAAUAUAGAUGAAAAUAAAAACAAUUACAAAGUUUAUCUAUAAAUUAUGAGAUGAAUCUUUUGAUCCUAGUUAGUCUAUGAUUGGACAAUAUUUAUCAUAAACAAACGAGAGUGCUAGAGUAACGAAAUCCAAAAACUUUUCACAUCUAAACAAGGCCCAUCUUUUGGAUCGUAUCACUAGUUCUGCUGCAGUACGAUAGAAAGGUCUUGUUUAGGUAUUGUUCAGGCGUCGUUUAGAUAUGAAAAGAUUUUGGAUUUUGCUACUAUAGCACUUUCGUUUGUUUGUGACAAAUAUUAUUUAAUUAUGGACUAACUAGGAUUAAAAGAUUCGUCUCGCGAUUUACAGAUAAACUGUGCAAUUACUUUUUAUUUUUCUCUAUAUUUAAUGUUUCGUACAUGUGUCUAAAGAUUCGAUGUGACAGAGAAUCUUAAAAUUUUUUUGGUUUUUUGUGAAAAACAAGGCCUUAGGUGGUGAGUGAAAAGUUUUUGAAUGUUACAUUGGAUGUUUUAUAAGAUGUUUAAAGAAGUAUUUAGAUAUUAAUAAAAAAACAAAUUACAUAGUUCGUCUAGAAACUGCGAGACUAUUUUAUUAAGCCCAAUUAAUCUGUCAUUAGUGCAUGUAGGUAUUGUAGCAGUUAUGACUAAUUAUAGGCUAAUUAGACUUAAAAGAUUCGUCUCGCAGUUUGCAACCAAACUGUGUAAUUAGUUUUUGUUUUUUAUACGUUUAAGGCCCUCUUGCAUCGAAGGAACGACAAAGGAACUUUAUAGGAUUCCAUUUCCUAAGAAAUUUUUCCUAUAAUAUCCUUUGAUUGACAGGAAAAGGCCACGAAGUUUUCUAUAGGAUUGCAAUCCUCUAGCUGAUUCCAUAGGGAAAAAAAAAGAGGUCAGACCUCUUGGAAACUAUCCUGACUCGAAAGGAAAUCGCUCGCGCGCUCCGUUCACAAUUGUUCACGCGUUACUUUGAUUUAUUAUUCGAAAUAUAGAAUUUAAUAGUGCACACUAUGACAGCUCUAAGGAUCACGUAGGUAUCUAAACACGUGUGUUUUUUUUUCACUGGAUUUGGUUAAAGGCUAUCCUAGCCUACCAAAUAAUCCCCUCUGCCCGCUCCUACCCCCAGCCCACCCAAAAAUGCAAUUCUUCCCUUUCUGAAAAGUUAAAUUAAACAAAUUAAACUUUUGGCAACUAAUCAAACGCGUCCAUAGUAACGCGUAUAGGAAUAAAACCGUGUACGACGCUCAAUUUCAACCGAGGCCUUGUUUAGUUCGGAAAAUUUUUGCAAAAUCGACAUUGUAACACUUUCAUUUGUAUUUGACAAAUAUUAUCUAAUCAUACACUAACUAGGCUCAAAAGAUUCGUUUCGUCAAUUUCAACCAAACUGUGCAAUUAGUUUUUAUUUUCGUCUAUAUUUAAUACUCUAUGCAUGCGUCUAAAGAUUCGAUGUGACAAAAAAUAUGAAAAAUUUUGCAAAAUUUUCUGGGAACUAAACAAGGCCCGAGUCACAGAUCAGAAAAAGCCGAAAAGGAAAAAAAAAAAAGAAGAAAUCCGUCUCGACGCGAACUCUGCUGGUGGUUUUCACCUAUAAAUAUCCGCGACGCUGCAGGUCAAAUUCAAGUACUCCUGGCUGUUCAGUUCACUGUAAUAUCGAUUUGGUGCCUUUGCAUUUGCUUCAAAUCUAUUCGUAAGUGGAAACGUUGGAGGAGAUCGAUCGAUCGGGAUGGGAGGGUGCUUCUCCUUGGACGGCGACGUGCGCGGCGGCAUGGAGGCCGUCGGCGGCGGCGUGACAGCGGCGUCUGCGCAGCAGGGCGGGCUGAACGACGCGGUCGACUAUUUCUUCCAGACGCGCGGCCUCCGCGGCCUCUACACGCCCAUCGAGGUAAACAAGCGCGCGAUCUGUUGGAUUGCGGUUUGGGUGUGGUGAAUAGCGGUUUUGGGUUCGGGAGGGAUUGGGAUUUUGUUGCUUUGUUUAAUUGGUGGUGUGCGGUUGCUCCUCGUUUCGAAAUUAAUUUUGGGAUUUGGAAUCAGGGUGCUCUCUCAAACUGUGGUUUCAUGAUUUCAGAAAUCUAGAAAUCUACUGCUUAGUUGCUUCGCAUUCAGGUGUUUGGGGUUUGUUAAUGUGUCUCCAUUCAGGUUUUUCGGUGCUCAUUUUGGUAGGCUUGCUCACUCGGACUCGCUGGCAACGCGUUUUGUAUGCCUCCAUUUUGUUCUAACUUUGUUCUAGGAAAUGCCCUGGACUCCAAAUAUGAAGAAAUUGAUCUCGCUGUACUGUUGAUCCAGCUCUACCUUGGCAUGGAUAGGCGGACUGAGAAAAUGCAUAUGAUUAUAUUAUGAACUGCGAUAGUGCACAUUAAGUUUACAAUUUUGGUUCCUCACGUUGAUUAACAUCACAUUGUGUCUGAAACAAGUGUAACGAUUUUGUGAACUUCCAUACUGGAGGCAUUUUUCUGCAAGGGGAUUAGGCGAGGUCAAAUACAUUUUAAGUGGAGUGGGUGCUGGAGAAGCUGGGUGGGGGAAGGAGAAGGUCUUUUGUUUUAUGACACACACAACCACUAUCAUUUUUAUUUUGUUAUGGUUUCUUUUUCUCUUAUAAACAAUCUAAAACGUCCCAAACAAUUUACUCUGCUAUUUGCCACUCACAUGAAGAUAUCUGGUCUCAUGCAGUACCCCCUUUCUUGAUUCUACAUUCAUCAUGCAAGUCUUGUUACCACAUCCCAGCUUGUCCAAGAUAUUUGGAUACAAUAACUUACAGGUCCAUGAUAUUUGGAUACAAUAACUUACAGCUAUUUAUGAUUUGUGAGGUGGUUUGAUUUAAGUGUUUCUUAGUGACCUUAAUUGCCUUAUUAGAAAGAUGGUGUACUAACCUAUGAUUCUGUGUCACCAGUUAGGCCUACAUGGCACAGCUUACUUACAUUUUCCUGAGUUAGCUGUGGAUGUCAAUCUGAUAUGUUAUUUUAUUCCUCUAAUUGCAGCUAUCAUUUUCAGCAUCGAAAUUGCGGAAUUUAGAUGCCUUUUCAAAGGUGAAACCUAGCAUUCUCAAGUACUUUAAUCUUAAUUAAUAUUUCGAUCGUGGUACUAGUAGUACUUACCCUGUUCUCCAGAGGCAUAAUGGCAUUACUUCAAAAAAAAAGUUACAUCAAGCCUUGGAAUGGUUGUCUCUGACUUUUGUGUUGUUGAAUAUUCUUAACUACAAAUGAUUGGUUGUGCUGUGAAAAAUGAGCAGACUAUAAGUUAAUACUGUUUAAAAUGGUCCUUGUAAUAUUAAUUUCAUAUUGGUAUGCCUGUAUUUUACCAACAACCUUCACUUAUCUUACGCCUUACUCACAUAAGAUUAAUAUAUCACAGUGUGUAAUUACUGAAACUGGACACGGAUUGCUUAAGUUUGCUUGGGUUACUUUGCAUCUCUACUUUUUUUCUUCCAAAGGUGAUAUAUUGUAUGUUUGCUCUAGAGUGAUCCUAUGCUAGUGGUCUACACUAACAUAAAAGGAAAGCUAGAGGAGAUUGGCCGUACUGAAGUGAUUUUAAAUUCACUGGAGCCCUCAUGGAUCACAAAGGUUACAAUGUCUUACCAAUUUGAGAUUGUGCAACCAUUCAUGUAAGUAUCUUAUGAUGGAAAUGUAGAUAUUACUUGCAGAAAACUCCUACUAACUGCUACUGUUUUUCAACUCAUGGUAGAUUCAGGAUAUAUGAUGUUGACACAAAGUACCACAACACUCCAGUGAAGGUAUUAAUAUUGUACCCUUAAUUCAUUUUUCUGUGCCUCUUCUCAAAUUCAUUACUUGAUGAUGAGAUAUUGGUUUCAAUCAGCCAACAAUCCUUUCUUAUUUGAUUACAGUAUUCUGUGUAUGGCUACAUUUGCCAAUGUAUAUCUUUUAAUCAUUUAUUCUAUGUAUUGCACACGUACAGUAAAGAUUUGCUUCAAAGGAGAUGGGUGACUAGCUGGCAGAACAAUUCUUGCAAUUUUAAAAUAGCAAAUACAAAAUAGUUUAGAAUAAAAGUUCCAUUUUACCUCACUUGUAUGCACUAAUUUUUGAAAAAAAAAUUCAUGUAACAAUGGGAAAUGAUUCCAGGCUCGUAUCAGAACUAUAGAUUUGCUUUGAUUUAAUAGUCACUAAUUUUCUAUACAACUUACAAAAUAUGCAUUUGUUGAUCUAUGCAGAUGUUGAAUUUGUCUCAGCAAGAUUUUCUGGGGGAAGCAUGCUGCAACUUAUCAGAGGUUGUUACAACAUCGAUUAGAUUGAUGAUUGCAAAUACCGGGAAUAAUUUGUUUUGGCAUUUUCUGUAUUACACAAACUUAUCUAAAUAUUUGCAAAUUUAGUAGUGAAGGAAGAAUGCAUUGCCUGAUUUGUUUUAUUUUCCUUCACAGAUUGUAACAAAAUUUAACCAUAGCCUCACAUUGAAUCUUCGGAGUGAUUGUGGACAUGGUCUUCAUGGAACAAUCACAGUACACGCUGAAGAAAGUGACUCCUCUAGAAUGGCAGUUGAGAUGACUCUGCGUUGCUUAAACUUGGAAAACAAAGAUGUGUUCUCCAAAAGUGUAUGGAUAAAUAAACUUCCUUUGCUAGAGUAAUGUUAUAAGCUGAUAAUUAUAAUUUUCAUGUGUUAAUUGAUAUUAAUUACACAGGAUCCCUUCUUAAGAAUAUCUAAACUGGUAGAGACUGCUGGUCCCAUUCCUAUCUGCAAAACGGAAGUGGUACCUGACAACUUGAACCCUGUUUGGAGGCCAAUCACUUUAACAUCACAGCAGUAUGGAAGCAAGGCAAGUAAAUUUUACAGAUAUGAUGGUAUUUCUGUUGGCAUAUCUUAGCACAUGCAUAAUUUAUUGCUGACCUUGUGAUUUCCCUUUUCUUGUGCUAUAUUUCAGGAUAACCCACUGCUAGUUGAGUGUUUUGAUUUCAAUUCCAGUGGAGACCAUGUACUGAUAGGGUAUGUAAAUGACUAUUGAAUUAUUUCUUAUCUUUUGCUGUCCAUUCUAAGAUGAGUUUUGCCCUUGGUUGUCUUAUGACAGGGCCUUCCAGACAACUAUUACUCAGCUUGAAAGUCUAUAUACCUCAAAGUCUGGAGCAAAUUUUUACAGCCACAAGGGACAAAGAAAGGUUUGAAUUUUUUUGUAUAUGAUGGGAUAUACUGAAGAAAAGAGUCACUUCAGCUAACUUCUCUUCAUAUGUCUAAACUGGUGUCAGAUGAAAGGGCAAUUGUUUGUGGACAAGUUGCAGGAAACAGUCCAGCAUACUUUCUUAGACUAUAUUUCCAGUGGAUUUGAGCUCAAUUUCAUGGUGGCUGUAGAUUUUACUGGUUAGCUUGUCAGCCGAUGUUAUAAUAUCUGUAACUCUGUCUAUAUAUUUAAAAAUAUGUGACUGAUUUUUCUGUCUUUUCAGCUUCGAAUGGAGACCCCCGUGUACCCCAGUCUUUGCACUACAUUGACCCUUCUGGCAGACCUAAUUCAUAUCAACAGGUUAGGAUCUGUCUUUUGAUGAUUUUGUUUUCGCAACGUUAGCCUGCUAAUUGGAUUCCAAACCAGGCAAUACUCGGGGUUGGCGAAGUUCUGCAGUUUUAUGACACUGAUAGGCGAUUUCCUGCAUGGGGUUUUGGAGCAAGGGCACAAGGUCACAUAUCACAUUGUUUUAACUUGAAUACAGCUACUAAUGACUGUGAGGUGAGCUUCAUGUCUGCUGAGAUAUCUUUUGACCACGCUGAACAUAUUUCUGUGUUAUAUUCUGUUCUCUACCUUCACAACCAUAUAAUCAUAAUACAGUUUGUAGAUUUGGAUAUAGUAUGCUAGGUGCAGUUAUGGAAUUGCCAAAUCAUGUGUGGCCCUUGCAAUUUUGCUGAAUAUGCAAACAAACUGGGCAACAUAUGAACUAUAUUACUAGCAGCAUUCACAUUGCUUAUAUUGAUGCUAUCUUUAUUUAUUCUCCUAAUGAUGGUGUCUAAAUUUCCAGAUCAUCAUUGAUGUUAAGGUUUUAUUUAUGAACACAGGUGGUUGGAGUUGAAGGCAUUAUGUCAGCAUACACCUCUUCUCUUUACAGUGUUUCCCUUGCUGGGCCGACUAUGUUCGGGCCCGUGAUCAACAAAGCUGCAGAAAUUGCAAGCCAGUCCCUUCAAUAUUCAAACAAUAAAUAUUUUGUCCUUCUCAUUAUCACGGUACGCAGUCAAAUACUCAAAUUUCUGCACAUAACCUUUGUUGGUUCAAAAUGUCAUUUAUCUGACCCUUUUUGCAGGAUGGAGUUCUCACUGACAUCCAAGAAACAAAAGAUUGUAUUGUAAGGGCAUCUGACCUGCCAUUGUCGAUUCUCAUCGUCGGCGUUGGAAAUGCUGAUUUCAAACAAAUGGAGGUAAAGAGCUGACCUCAGAAAUCCCUCUCUUGAGAAAUACUCCCUCCAUUCCAAAUUAUAAGACGGGUUUGGCUUUUUUAGAUACAUACUAGCUUUUGCUAUGCACUUAGAUAUACACUAUGUUUAGAUACAUAGUAAAAACAAUAUAUCUAGAAAAGGCAAAACUCCUAUAAUUUUAAACGGAGGGAGUAGAAAGUAGUCUGAAUAUUUACCUGCCAGCUCUUACCCAAAUGAACUGUAUGCGCAUUUUCACUAUGCUGUAAGCGAAUUCCUUCCAUACACAAAGGAUUUGACACCUCACCAUGUUUGCUAAACGAAGCUGAGCUGUUGCAUGUCGUACCUGUCCAUCUGAGCACUUGAUAGUUUAGUCUGGCAGUUCAUCGCAGCAUAGCUUUGCACUUUUUUUUUAAUUGUACCUCUACUACUUCUGCAUUCGAUGAAUCUGCAGGCAUGCUGUCACUUGCAUCUGCCAGAAAGUUUGUCCACUUAUGUUAUGAUGAUGUACUUUAUUCUUUGUCUGAAACUUAAACAAAAGGCCUCUUAGAUUGCAACGUUGUUCCAUGACGAUCUUCUUUUCCUGCUCCACUUAACAAUCGUGCAUGACAGAUCUUGGACGCGGACAACGGUAAGCGACUGGAAAGCUCUACUGGCAGGAUCGCGACACGCGACAUCGUCCAGUUUGUCCCCAUGAGGGAAGUCCAAGGUGAGCAGCAGCAGCAGUCCGCAUCACGCCAGCCCCAGCUGUGACACUUAUAGAACAGGACUGUUACCAUCUCCAAUACGAUCUCGAUCGCUGACGAUUCCCUGCCCUUGUUGCACAGGUGGGGAGAUCUCCGUCGUGCAAUCUCUUCUGGAGGAACUCCCCGGUCAGUUCCUGCACUACAUGCGCACUCGCGGGAUCAAGCCACAGCAGCAGCAGGGGGCGGGGCUUGCUUCAGCGCCCGUUUACCCUCCUCAGCAGUGACCAAAAGAAAAUGUGCCGCGCUCGGAACGAGCUGGUCCCUUUUUGCCUCCAACUGUGGAUUCCGCUAGCGUCCCAUGGUAGCGUAGUACUCUUUGUUCAUAUAGCCUCUCUGGUUAGCUUUUUUAUCCUGGCCGCAGUUGGUGCAUAUCCAAGGCCGUAGAAUCUAGAUCCAGCACAAGUAGACACUGCUUUCCUCUGGGUUAAGCGGGACGAAGUAAAUUCGCGCUGCACAUUCUGUCAAGCAUUCAGGUUGUUCGUGAAACGUGAUUAUUAUCCCCUGCUUCCAUAUUAAGUACAGUAUAUUGAACGUUGGUGGUGGUUAUGAGUUGACCGCAGGCAAAGCCUCCGCUCCAUGAUGGUCCAGGCGUCCAGCGGCUGGCUUCGGGCGAGGCAUGUGGUGCUGGCCUGGAAGCCAGCCUAGAGCUCGUGGGGGUGCUCACGAUUACCGCGCUCUCACUGGCAUCUCUGUCUCUUCCUUUUUAUUUUUAUUUUUUGGGGGUCCUCUCGAACAACUCGAAUUCGCUGGAGGGCGGCACCUUGUUGCGCGCGUCCCGCGUCGCCUUCUUUGUGCGCCGACUGAAAUGAGCCGUCCGUUCUUAAGACGAUAUUACUAAUAUUUGUCAGUUAGUUACCGGCCGCCUUUUGACCUUAUCUGAAAACCUUUUUUUUUCCCCUUGUUAUGAAAGGCUCUCCUGUCGUCCUUAGUUAUGGUUACGGCACUGUUCGCUUCGCACCAACUUUAUAGGAGUGCGACAAAGUGUUUUCGUAAUAAAUUAGAAAAACAUGCUCUUUUUUUUAAAAAAAAAUUGAGAAACCGACGUUUCUCAAUCAUCCUCAUCGGAAGGGGCUAACUCAUUAGAAAACGUUGCGGGCCUCGUUCUCUUAGUAAGCAGUUGGAGCCACACAAUAAACACGUCGGUGUCAUCUCGUAAGAUUACAAGCAUGUUGGAGUACAGAUUUGGUGCAUUCAAGCACCAGUAGUAAAGAGAGAUGCAAAAUUUCCGUCUAACCCUAGAACAAGAGCAAUUUGGUAGCCUAAACUAAUUUGUAGAAAAUAGAGCGAUAAAUUAAAUUUAUUUUAGCACAUGUUCAUCACAAUUGCUGUAGUGGUUUACACGACUAUAUUGUAGUGAAUAUAUUAAAAUAAUCUAAUACAUAUUACCAUGUUCACUGUUUUAUAUUUUUCUCAUGAAUGAUUCUAUCGGAUCAAAUUUGUUUAUCGUCAUUUCCACUCACUCUUGUCCAAGCGAAUAGUGUACCUAGCAAAUUUCUGGCUGAAUACUAGUAGUAAAUACGUUUAUUAUAGAUGGAUCAGAAGCCAAAAUCACUUGUCUCCUCCCAUCGCGACUCGCCGGAGUAGAGUAUGGGAGAGUUCAAGUUUCUAUGUAAUGCAACUUGUUGUGCCAUCCUAUGGUUAGGAAGCCACUUUUAUGGUCACCAUCACGGUAGGCCACACUAACGAACUGCCUUUCCUUUUUCUAAAAAUCCUAUUCAUUCGUGAACUCUUCUAUGUUAUAUCUAACUUUGAAUAAAAGAAACUAUAGUACACACUAGUGCUACAUCUCUGACUUAAAUUUAUGAUGUGCAUUUUUUUUUCGAAUCACAGUACAACCAAACAUAGAUACUCACUCGUAUCGUAUAUAUUUAAUGGAUAGCUUCCUUCCUCAUUUAGUAUUAAUUAUUAGCUUGUGAGAAAUGAUAUAGCGAUAUACUAGCUCAUUUUUUUUCUAUAUAAAAAAAAGGCUAAAGAGUGAGAUGCCGACGAACUUCUUCCAUGUACAAACAAACACCCUGUUAAUGCAUAAAGAAGAUUGAGGUUUAACUGCGGAGGCUCAAAACAGAUUUAACCAGACAGUCAUUCAUUCAUGCAUGCCGCCAACGUCGAGACAGCCCUGACAAGAGAAGCUGACAAAGAUGAGAGAGCGAGGGGAGGGGGGGGGGGGGGGGGGGGGCAAUAAAACCGUUGAGGGACACAAGGAGAAAGGAAAUCACAGCACACAACGCACCAGCUUUGUCUCCCCCCACGCUCCGACUUCAUCACGCUAAUAAGGCCCUAUUUAGAUUGGAUAUCAAAAUUUUCUAGGGGUCACAUCAGACGUGUCGAAAGAAUGUCGAGAGAGAUUUUUAGAAACUAAUAAAAAAACAAAUUACAUAGCUCAUCAGGAAACUACAAGACAAAUCUAUUAAGCAUAAUUAAUCUAUCAUUAGCACAUGUGAGUUGCUGUAGCACUUAAGGCUAAUCAUAGAGUAACUAGGCUUAAAAGAUUCGUCUCACAUUUUUCAAUUAAACUGUGUAAUUAGUUUAUUUUUUAUGUAUAUUUAAUGUUCUAUGUAUGUGUCCAAAGAUUCGAUGAGAUGGACGAAAAAAUUUUGGGUGGAGAACUAAACAGGGCCUAAUUUAAUCACCAUUUUAUUUUAUUUACUCGCUACUAUUAGUCCCUCUCCCUCCCUCCCUCCCGACUCCGUCUCCCUCCCUCCCUCCCUCCCCUUCCCAGGCUCCUCCGCCGAGGCGACCAACUCCGUCAACCCGAGCACUCCCACGCAAACCCUAGCCAGCCAGCCAGCUAGCUAGUCACCCCGGCCGGGUCCAAUGGCGGAGGACGGCGGCGACAGGGACCAGCAGCAGCAGCAGCCGGCGGCGGCCGCCGCGGCGUCAGGUGGCGCCGGGGUGGAGGCGCGCAGCAGGGAGAGCGUCAAGCUCUUCGUGGGGCAGGUACCCAAGCAGAUGUCGGAGGCCGAGCUCGCCGCCCUGUUCCGCGGCGUCGCCCUCGUCGACGAGGUCACCGUCAUCCGCGACAGGGCCACCAGGGUCUCGCGAGGUCCGGAUCCGUACGCCUCCCCUCCCUUCUGCCUCUUCGUCUGCCGAAUUCCUUCGCCCUCCCUCCCUGGCUGCAAUGCGACGCCCCGCGUGGGGGGCGGGUUCUCGGGAUCUGGUGCGUGGCUUCGCUUGGGACAGCUGGACAUGGGAGACGGACGGUCCGGCCGUCCGCCUCUCGGGAGGGUUUUCCUUUGCUUUGGAGGGCUCGGCUUUGUGGGUGCUGAGCUUGUUCGGGGGCAAUGCCGCUGACGCGGAGCUAGAACUGCUGUUUUCCUGUUCGUGGGUGUUCCUGCGGGGCCGAAAAGCUAGAGGAUCUCGCCAUUCGCUGGGAAUUUGGCUGGUUUGCCAGCGAUCCCUGUGCAAUGGGUGACAUGAUGCGUUCACUUGGUGGCACCUCUUGUUCUCUGCGUGCGUUGCACUUGCAGAGAUGCAUGCUGUGAUGCGACCUCCAUAUGGUGGAGGAAAGCUUUCAACAUCUUACAGUCGUUGAUAUGUUGGAGGUUGCUUUGUUUGCUUGGAAGACCGCUGGGACUUGAACUCUUUGGCUCUUUUUUGGUACCCAAAGCUGCCGUAGCAUGUUGUAAAUUUGCAAUGUUCUGUGUGCUUAUCUUCAGUUUCCAUCCUUCUCUUUUGAUGUACCUGCAGGGUUAGAUCCAGAGUUUGCUGUUCUGAGAAGUUUUACUUUGGAUUUUGCUUCUUCUCAGUUGCUUUUGAUCCUAUGAUGCAAGAUUUUGUGUUGAAUGCUUGAGAUUUAGUUGGACCUGGGCUUUGAUUUGAGCUGGUUGGUUUCAGUUGGCCCCCGAAUAUAGGCUGCCUGUGUUAGUACAGACCAACUGAUAACUGAAGAUACUCUGCUUUAUGUAUGAUUCGGCUAAAAUUUAGGGACAAUAGAAUCGCACACAUGUUUGCUGUUUUUUUUCCUAUUUAAGAACUUCAUUGGUUCAAGAAUUUAAUUGGUAUAAGACCAUUCAAAACUCCAUUGACCUUGUUUGAGUAUGAGUUUGGUUCUUUUCAACACUACAGGAGAGUGGAGCUUCUUCAUUGUGACUAGUUUUAAUUUGUGUGGAGGAACUGCUUCACUAUGCUUCUGAUUUUUUAAUAGUUUUAGCAUUCUCCUUCGGAAGGCCUGAAGGAGUCAUGUAAAGUGAUAGCCUGUGUUGUUCUUCAUGUGCAAAUUCAACUGGAAUGCCCUUUGCCACUAGCUGAUCUGAAAAGUUAUGGCUAAAAGUACUGUUCGCUGAUUUAUUGUGAGGGAAAAACACUGCUGGCUGGCAGAAAAAGUACGGCUUAUAAGACAAGCGAAUUAGUUUUUUUUUCCAUUUCUCUUGGAGAAUAUUUUUUACUUUAGGUUUUUGUUUCCUGUUCCUUUUGUUUAGUUCUUGUUGGACUGUAGUGUAAAUAUGUAUCUACACAUGGGUAGGACCUACCUUUUUGUUCCUUAAUUGAUGUUUGAUUCAAGAGUAUUGGACCUUUGCAGGCUGCUGCUUCGUGAUCUGCCCAUCAAGGGAGGAGGCUGACAAGGCUGUGACUGCAUACCACAACAAGCGCACACUACCUGGGGUAUGUAACCUUGUUAUGUAUUUUUCCUGGAAUCUUGGGUAUAGUGUAGUAAGUACUAAGUAGUAACUGAUACCUCUGUAAGUUUCUUCUUUGAGGUCAGAAAUUGUAGCACCAUUUGGAAUGUUCCUUGAUAAGUUGAAAAGCUGGCAUUUUCUGCAUUCACAGGGGUUUUUUAUUCAGGGCGACUUUUUUUUGUUUCAUUUAACCCCCUCAUGGCUCGGCCCGCAGUGAGGUGACGGUGUUCAUGUAAGGGGCCGAUCCUUUUCUCUCUAUAAUACAAAGAUGCACAGCUCUCCUGCGCAUUCGAGAAAAAAAUGCAUUCAGAGCUGUCUUCAAACUAAUUUAGUGCUUACAUAAUUAUCUUAGAAUCCUGGACUGAAUCCUUUCAUUACCAUGUAUUGUUGUACCUGGCUGGUACUAGCAGAUGUUUGUUUGUACAUGAAUUAGUUUUCGGACCUAAACCAUCAAAUACAUGAGGGAGUCCAUGAUAGAAACCCAAUUUUUGGAAUGUGGAUGAAGUGAAACUAAUCUUGCCUUGUCAGUGACAUAUAAGACAAUAGUUUCUGAUGAUGGUCUGAAAUGUUUUACAUAUUGUUUCAAGCAGUCUCAAUGUACAGUUGCAAUCAAUCCUCAAGAAAUAUUUUUAAUAUUCCUAAAGUACUUAAUGUAUUUUUUCAAAUGUCUAUUUCUCUGAGACUCUAACUAACUUUAGUAUUUUCACUUUCCUAUUUUUCUCUGUUUUAAAUUAGGCCUCAAGUCCAUUGCAAGUAAAAUAUGCUGAUGGGGAGUUGGAAAGACUGGGUAUGAGGCUCCUCAAAAUUGUAUCAUCAUUUUUAAUGUAUUUGCACGCUGAUUUUGGCUCGGUUUUUAGAAUAUUCACUGGCAUGUGUUAUACUGUUACUUCCAGAGCACAAGCUCUUUGUUGGAAUGCUCCCAAAAAAUGUAACAGAUGCUGAAAUGACGGAUUUAUUUUCAAAAUAUGGGAAUAUCAAGGAUUUGCAGAUUUUGAGAGGUUCUCAGCAAACGAGCAAAGGUAAAUUAUCUUGGUUUGGAUUAGGAAUGGAGCAUCACCGUAGUCACUUUAUCUUCUUUCUAACUUGCUUAUCAACUGUGGAUGUUGCAGCUGGCUGUGCCUUUCUAAAAUAUGAAACAAAAGAGCAAGCUGUGGCUGCUAUAGAAGCUCUAAAUGGAACACACAAAAUAGAGGUUCGUAGAAAUAAAGGAUUCCAAAAGAAUCUUUUUCUUAACGAUGACAUUAUUUCAAUUCUCCUGAAAACAUCACAUACCCCUACCCUACUACUCUUAACAGGAUUAUGUAGCUCAGUGAUAUAUGAACUCAAUAUCAUUGCAUUUCAAAAGUUCCAAACAAAAGUUGCUCAGUAUGUUUGCAAUUUGCAAAUAUCACCUAUCAGCCACACAUUGGAUGGUACUUCCAAUUUACAUAUUGUUGUUAUGGUACUGAGCUAUUUUCCACAACACUGUAGCAAGAAAAUCUGGAAUUCUCUGCUUUCAUUAAUUGAACAUAAUCUGAUAGAUUGAUGUGAAGUAAAAUCAUUCAAACAGAGGACACCAGUUUUGAAAGUAGUUGCUUGCCAUGAUUUCUUAAAUAGAAGAUAUUUCCUUUUAUGACAUUGUGUCUUAUAUUUGAUGAUAUCAAUGCAUGUAAUAGAUCACUGAUACCUUGGCUUUGUAUGAUAUUGAUUGCUUCAGUUCUUCUGAAAUUUCAUGACCAGUUACACAAAUCUAACAGAAACCCUGGUCAUUGUUGUUAGGGUUCAAGUGUUCCCUUGGUUGUCAAAUGGGCUGACACUGAAAAGGAAAGGCAGGCUCGAAAAGCACAAAAAGCUCAAUUCCAGUCUUCUAACAUGUUGAAUCCAAAUGCUAUGCAGCAGAAUUCAGUGUUUGGAGCUUUACAGAUGGGAUAUGUGCCGCAGUACAAUGGAUUUGGCUACCAGGUAUAUUAUGGUAUAAAAAAAUACAGCAAACAGCUUGAGACAACUCGUCAUAACCUUUCAUGUUGAAUUAUCAUGCUUGGCAGCUAGCAGUAUUUAACCAAAAAAAAAACAUAAGGAAUGCUAUACAAACUUGAUUACUUGGAUUUUAUAAAGUAUGCAUUGAUCAAUAAGCUAUGUGCAGCACGCCAAUGCUGUAGAGUGCUGCACUAACAGUACCUGUGUUUAACUUGUUUUGCAUCGUGGGUAAUAAUUGUACUUACAUUGCUCUAUGCAGCCACAAGGAACCUACGGGCUUAUGCAAUACCCUCCUCUAUCUCCUGUGCAAAAUCAGACUGCUUUCCAGAAUAUGGUUCAGCCUGUUAAUCAAGGAAGCUCGAUCCGUGGAGCGAAUUCUGAACUUUCCCCUAAUUCAGUUCCUAGAUCAUUUAAUUCUGCACAGUUGGGAAGCCCCUAUUCGCCUUUGCCUGGUUUGCAGUAUCCUGGAGUGUAUCCUGGUGGUCCUAUUAAUCAUCGCCCCUUUUCAAAUUCACACAGUUCAACCAAAGUUCAAAAUUCAAAUGCUAAUUCGCCGUCUUCAAGUCCCAGCAGCAAUCCUGGCCCCCAGAUAGAGGGUUUGUCUUCUUCUAUACUCACGAAAUUAGUUUCCAUUAUAUUUUAAGUUAGUUUUGUUUCUAACAAGAAGGCUCAAGUUUGUAUUUGGAGGCAUUAUGUUCAAAGGUUUCUCUUAAAAAUGACUGUCAUGUGUGCAGGUCCUCCUGGAGCCAAUUUGUUCAUAUAUCACAUUCCGCAAGAAUUUGGUGACCAUGAUCUUGCAAAUGCAUUUCAUAGUUUUGGUAGAGUACUGAGCGCUAAAGUUUUUGUAGACAAGGCAACUGGUGUUAGUAAAUGCUUUGGUAAUUGAUUCUUCCUAGUUUCAAUUUCGAUGACAGGACAUCUUACAAACUUAGUUUGCUAACUUAUUUUCCUGGAUAGGUUUUGUAAGCUAUGAUUCUCCAGCUUCUGCACAAGCAGCUAUUAGUGUGAUGAAUGGAUACCAAUUAGGUGGUAAAAAGUUGAAAGUACAACUCAAGAGAGACAACAGCAAGCACAAUAAACCUUUCUGACAAAGUGAAUUCGUUGUAUGCUCACACGAUCAGGAAAAUCGGUACAUAUGUGUCACAAUUGAUCAUUACAUUGUUUCCUCUGGCCUCCCACCAUUGUGUCGCCGGUGGUGGCUCUUGUAUCUUUGUUCAAUUCACAUUCUUGAAAACUGUCACAUUGUGUAUUUUCGUCGCAGCGUAGUUGUAGCAUUUGUACCAUCAGAUCUUGUACAUCAGACAUUAAUUCAUUCAAUUGUUUUUUUUUAAAUUCUCAUGAAUCAUUUUGACAUGAAUCAUUUUGUUGUAAAUAAUGUUUUAGGAAUUUACGGUAUGACAUGUUUCAGUAUCUGUGUCAUCCUUGACCUAAUCUUACUGGUAGCCAUACUAAGUGGGUAAGAAAGAGUAACGUUGUUUUAGGAAUAAUGGUAGCAUGCUAAUUUCUUUUUUGGUCUUUUCUUAUUACUGGAUGUCUACUGACCCUUGCUAAAAAUGGCAUUUUGAUAACUGCAUGGUUACUGUAUUUGGUUUGUAGCUCUUCCGGAUUAAACCAGAUUUGGCCAAAGCUCGCAAAAUAUAACCUCUAUUGUUUUGAGACCAUAAUAUAACCUCUAUUGGUUUUGAGCUGUCUAUACUGCAUCCUCGUGUGGGGCAAAAACCUGAGACAUGGUAUGGUAUACCGCAGUCCUCAGGCAAUUCCCAAUGAGUUGUCUAUCCAACAACUGUGUUUCAACACUCGAUCACUAACCUACUAUUAAUCUUCCUUCUCUACCCUGCUGCCGCCAACCGCCCCACCGGUGAGACCAUACCGCGCUCGCGGUGGACACCUUUUUCCCCUCCCCUCGCCCUCUUUACGUUGUCGUUUCCUUCCCCAACCCCAGCGAGCUUGGUCGUCGCCAUCUCCAACUCCGGCGAGACUUCUUUAUUCUUGACCUAGCUUAGUCGCCGCUACCAUCAUUAGGGCCCCUAAACCGUCUGACCACCAUCCCCACUGUUAGAGCAUCUCCAAGAGUUUGCUAUUUCUAGCUUGCCAAAUUGUGAUGUUUGGCAACUUCGUAUAAUAAAUAGCAAGUGAAAUAUUUAGAGUAUCUCCAAGAGUUUGCCAAUUUGGACUUACCAAACAAAAAAAUGGGCCCAGCAGUAUAACCGUCAGGAGGCUUUCGUGAUUGAUGGUCGCUGGGAGAUUGCGGCGGCGUGGAGACAAGAUUUGGUCAUCGAUUUGCAAAUCAUUUUGCCACCAGCACUUCAAUGAUAAUACGUCAUGCAGCAGCACACAAAAAUUAAUUCAUUCAUACUAAAUUAAUUUAAAUAAAUAUCAUCUGAAGAUAAUUAAAUUAUCAAUAACCAGAACUAAACUUAUGAUAGUUCAAAUGACAAGAAAUAACCGAGAUAUGGAUACCCCAAGACACCUGAAAGAGAGUCGCCCAUGACUUGGCACUGUCUAAAUCACGCCUAACCCGAUAGACAGGCUUAUGAUCGUAACAGUAUGGGAAUCACAAUAGGGAGCCAACUCCCCCAUACCAAUCGGAUCCUAAGCCCCAACACGACCAUAGGAGGUAGGGCAACACAACCACGAUCCAGGGAGCAGGAGGUCCGCAAGGGCCCUAUGUCCUCCCAAUACAAUGACAUCACGACUUCACCCCAAAGAAACAGGUGCCAAGACAUAGGCCACAAUGUUUACACUAAGCUCAUGCCAUACAUGGGAGUUGAUGAACAACUACCAUUCCCACAAUGCCGCCACAGUCGGCCCAAUGCCACCAUGGUAUACCACGCCUUAGCAUGGGGAGCAAGACCUUGAUGACCAUAUAUGCGGACAAGACAAGAUGGAGUGUUGACCAAGCUCGCAAGUUUCUCCUUCAGGCCUUGUUUAGUUCCCAAAAAUUUUGUAAAAUUUUUCAGAUUCGCCGUCACAUCGAAUCUUUAGACGUAUGCAUGGAGUAUUAAAUAUAGACGAAAAUAAAAAAUAAUUGCACAGUUUGGUCGGAAUUGACGAGACGAAUUUUUUGAGCCUAGUUAGUCCACGAUUAGACAAUAUUUGUCAAAUACAAACGAAAGUGUUACAGUAUUGAUUUCCCAAAAAAAAUUUGGAACUAAACAAGGCUAGAGAAUCCUUCACUUCUGCAUGUUACGCGUCCCCAUGAAAAUAUACGGGGAGCUAUGCUUUUUUCCCAGACAAUCAAUUUCCCCUAUCUCAAAUCCCUUUAGUAGUAGCUUGCAUAGCCCUAUUGUAAGCCGUUUGAAGCGCUUGAACUAAGGAACACAUAUUCACUAUAUCUGGCACAGUCCCGAUCCAAUAUAAUUCCUUUUGUCUCGAGUGCUAGCCAUCAACUCUCUUGAGCAGCGGCGCUAAAUUUACUCGAUCUCAAAACACUGACACCCACUGUCUGCCAUACCUGCCUUCCCCGGACCGUCCCCUUCUAUAGCCACUGGAGUUGGAGAAGAAAGAGAGAGGAAAGGCUCGCCAAAAUUCUAGCCACCGUCGCCGGACCGCCAUCGUUUUCAUCUCCGGUGGACACAGAUCUAGGGUGAGGAGGAGCCUGCCUACCUCGUCGGCACCGACGCUGUCGGAACCCCCUGCCAUCGCCGGAGGGCACGAUCCGAACGGCCUCCUUCUUCACCGCGUGAAUCGGACGACUGCCAGAAAUCGCGUGUCGCCGCUGGCUAAAAACACUCGGUUGCUGUUUAGCGUUUAUGUUCCCAAUUCUGCACGCCCUUGCGUAAAAACAGUAUAAGCCCCUAUACUGGAUCCCACCAUCUGUGUUUUGAGUAUAAGCAAACACCGGGCAACACACAUGUGCAACACACAAGGGCCUGCCGCACCUGGCUUUGACCACUAUACACACAGAUGCAUGCCCAUCUGCUGCUUUUUAUCCCCGACCCAUAUUCACACGCUCACCAUAUGUAUGUUAUACAGCAGCACCUGCAGCUAGGGUGUAUUAUUCUGCGCCUACGACCGCCUCCAAACGGGCAAUUAUUCUGCCUUCUCUGGACUAGAAUUUAGAAGAUGGUGGCUCAGCCACGUCAUGGCAGACCCAUCAGCAUAUACAUCAGGAGUGCCAGGGUCCAAUGGCACGAGUGCCUACGGGUGGCAUAUGCUGCAGUAGCAAAACAAUGGAUGGUCAGUGACACAGAGGAGGUGUUGUUAAUUGCAUAGUACAGAUAACAAUGUGAAAACUGAACAAGUUGCAUCUGGCCAGUUGAUCAGGUUAAUGCAGUGGAAUGGAAUCAAAUGCCGAGAAACAAAAUCAGUUUUGACGCCGAGCAUCCAUAUAUGUAAGGUUUGACCAAGACUGGAUUGCACUGUUCUAGUUUCCAUUUAAUAUGUGAUGUGGAAAUUGCUGACAACGGAAUUACUAUAGUAAACAGUACAGAAAGCUCAUCAACUUUCAAAAUUGGAAUAGAGUGGCCAGCCUAUAAUACUCGUUUAGUUUGGAAUCUGGAGUCUUUAUGAAUGAGUAUUGCUUUGAAAUAACAGCACCUGGUAGAAGUGGAAGUGUAAAUAAGGAAGGACUAAGGGAGAAGCAACUCACAUGAGUGAGGACCAGGAGCCGCUGCUGGCAUUUGAGCAUGAUGAUGUCCAUGAACGAGAGGUACUCCACGCAAAUGGGGCUUCGCAAGUGCAGGGGAAGGAGCAGGAGAGCUGUUGUCUCUCCUAGGAUUAUUAGGAGAAGAGUGAUUAAAAGAGGGGGUUGGGCUAAUGGAUGGUGGAGGCACUGCAUGGGGUAUGGUUGCAGGGGAAGCAUAAUGAUGGUUACUAGCUACUGGCUCAGCAGCUGGGGCUACAGGAGCUUUAUUCUUUGGCUUGGUGGUAUAUCCAUAUGGACAGGAUGGGGAUGGAGAUAUAUAUUUGGGCUGUUGGACAGGAGAAUGUACAGGAGCAGGAGAUGGAGCAAAAUGCUUCUUUUCCUCUUGACUCUUGUUAUGGUGGUGGUGUUCAUGGUGGUGGUGGUGGUGGUGGUGGUGGUGCUGAGGAUGAUCUUGAUAAGGUAUAGGUGCUGGACUAGGUGUGUCAGUACCACCUCCACUGUGCAAAGAAUGUGUAAGAUAAGACGAAAGGCUUAUCUGCUUUACUCUGCCAAACACAGUGUGAUUCAGUCCCAAGUUUCCUGACGAUGAAUUAGCAAUUGUUUGGGCCAACUGCUUCAUCCUUGGAAGGGAUGGCUGGUGAUUCCCAACUUCAAGAACAAUCGAGGCCUGAACAAUUGUUGGAGGAGCAACCGUUGAACCUUUUGAAUUCGUCAAUUUGAUGUAGAGGUUCUGCAAAGUACAGGAAAGGACUACUCAGUUGAGUAAAUAUGAACAAAAUCUAAUAGCGACAUUGCCCUGGUAUGGCCUUUGCAGAACCAUCCCAAAUUUUCUAAUGUGCAACAAAUAAGAGUUGUAACAGAUGUGAAAACCAAAAAAAGAACAAUGAUCUCUCCUCACUAAUGCACUACACCACCACCUUGUAAGUCCUAAUACAUAUAGCAAUAUCUUAUUUCAUUGUUCCUUUUAAAGUGUUUCAGGAUUUUUUUUAAAUGGCUACCAGUAUCAGUUCAGUCACCCUAGUGGUGGCUAUAUAGAUACGCAGCACAAAAGCAUCCUAACCAGCAAUUAGACGAUAAUAAUUAUUGGCACCCAUUCUUUGUAUUUAACCUAGCACACUCAUUUAUAACACCAUGCUUAACUUUUGCAGGAAUCACAAAGUUAGACAACCAUCUUGCACCUCCAUAUAAUCUAUGCGUGUAUGUUCUCUUGUGAUCAUAUACUCUUAUAAAGCUAAACCCCACUAGAUGAAUUCUCUCUUCAUGCAAGAUGUCCACAGACCCACUAAAUGUUCUAUCCCUUCAUGCAAGGUGUCCACAUCAUUUCCCACUAAGUCCAUGUCAUCCCAUAUUAAUUAAUUACAAAAAAUGACCAUGUCAUCUAUAUCAUAUGGAAUACUUUAAAUCUUUAAUCUAUUAACAUACAAGUCAUGUACAUACACUAUUUGUUUCAUUACCAAUUCCUCUAUAAUGUAACCAAAUAUUAGUUUUUCUUCUAUAAGCUCAGCAAUUUUUUACUAGAUCUAAUACAAUAAAAUACAUGCAAGUCAAAUUCAUAUAUAUGUAUACAUACAUAAUAUACUGAAUACCAUAUAGUAAUGCUAUGUAUAUAAUGAUUUAUUUUUAAGAAAAUCCCGCAGCAACGCGCAGGGAAUUCACCUAGUUUUAUAUAUGCACAAGUGCUCCCACAUAGACCACAAAUUUGCAGCCCGAUUCAUGAUAGGUCAAAAUGAGACAAAUUGUACUCCAUCAAUGCCCAGUUACUCAUAAGUACAAGGAACGUGCAUGCUUGCUUAUGACAAUUGCAUGCCCAUCAGGUCAUAGAAAUUGAUUGUAUGGUUCACGUAAGAUCAGUAACCCAAUAAAAAUAUGUAACAAGAAUCAAGCAUUAAACCAUUAAGAUACAGUCCUAUAACAACUUUAGGGGCAAAAAAGACAUACAAUACCAAUAAUAUAUUAUUGAGAUAACCGUGGUAAUAGUAAAAAUGCUAAAACAAAAAAUUUAACCUAACUGAUACUAACCUCAUAGGGAUUGAGACGUAGUCCAGACUUCAUUUGGUCUUUCAACUCAUUUGUUUCCUCCUGUACUUUGUAGAUUGGGAAAUUCAGAGUGAAGUUGAAAGAUGCAUAGGGUUUCUGAAGAAGAAAUGCAGCCUGUGGAGGGAUAAUGGUAAUUCCUCCAGGGAACUUAAACACCUCAAAAUUUGAAGAGGCCCCAAAUAGAGACUCUGUCAGGUGGAGUGUCGACUGCUCCACAACCAAGGACAUAAAAGAAGACCUAAGAAUGCUCAACCAAGUUGGUGAUAUAGUUGAGUGUACUGGAUAAGGUACAAUGGUGAAGAUCACAUUUGUCCAGUUGGAUGCGCCUAAUGGUUGUAGAAAAUUUAUGGUCACCUGUACAAUAAUUGGGGGAUCAGCAGGAUGGAAAAUUGGACACAUUGUGUGUGACAAGAAGAAUAUAAAUAGUGUACAUCAUUGUGCCUUACAGUUGAAUUAGGAACGCCAACUUCCUCAUAGAUGUCAAAUUCAAGCUUAGAUGUACUUUCACUCAACUCAGAAACUGUCUUUUGUAGCAUAAAGCUUGCCACAAUAUCAGCUGCAAAAAGAGCAUGACUUGAACAUCAAAUAAAAAAAUUGUGAAUUCAACAUCUAGAUAAUAAUAGAUUGCUUAUAAGAAGAGUAACGGUUGACCAUUACUAUUCACAAGUGUUUUAUCUUUUUUGUCACUAGGUGUGUAGGUUGAGUUUCAAUUUCAAAUUUUGCAGAGGAAUGAUGCACAUCACCAUCAACAACAACUAAGCCUUAUAGUCCCAUUUAAGUUGGGGUAGGCUAGAGUUGAAACCCAACAUGAGCCCCUAGUCACGGUUCAGGCACGUCAAUAGCUGCUUUCAAAGCACUCCGAUGCACAUCAUCAAAAUGUCAUAAAAUCUUGGCCGGAUUUCUUUAGAGAUGCAAUUGAGCAUCAGGAUUGCAUGAGUGCAUGAACCUCUGGGAACACUAGGUAUAUGUUCUUGUCUGUUUUGCAUAUCACAGAUGCAGCCCACAUCUCAAACUAGAAUGGUAUCUUGCACCAUGGAACUAUCAGAAUAAAUGCUUGAAAACAAUUCAUAGCUUUGUAUACACGCGGAAGAUUUCAGUGUUAUUGACAUUGAUGAUUGUUAGUGGUCAUCCAAGCCAAGCAUCAAAACCAUCACCCUAUGUGUGAAUGAUAGUUAAUAGUUUGUCGGUGUGACUUAAUGUAAGCCAUGCACAUCUUGCCGUGCAGAAGCAGGAAGGAUUCUCAAGAAUGUUACCUUGAUGUAAUAUUCUUUGAGUUUUAAUAAAUCUCCUUAUAUCAGAAAAAUAAACAUGUAAUAACAAAUAGUAAAUAUCAGCUUUCCUAUUUUAUGAUCAAAGCGAUUUUGAUGGGUCCCGGAGGGAAGCAGGCUUUGAUUUCUCUGGAUCAUUGGUUCAACAUAAACUCAUCCAAAUAAACCAAUCCAGACUUCAAAGCAAGAAAAUGGGAUACAGAACAUCUAUGGUGCCCCAUAACUACCCAUUGGGUACACUCAUUUGCAACCCUAGGGUCUGUUUGGAUCCAGGAAGCUAACAAUUAGCCUCUAUUUUUAGAUGUCAAAUAGGAGGGUUAAACAUGGGCCAAUUUUCGGCUAAUGAGAGCUAAUGGGGCUAGUUGGUGGCUAACCAUUAGCCUAUGUUAUGACAAGAUGGGUUAACUUGACGCCCUAGGAUCCAAACAGGGCCCUACUCAUACAAUACAACAUCCAAUAUCACAAAUAAGAGUAAGGACCCUGUUGUUUGUUGACUCUGGGUCUUGGUUUCAAUAGUUAUAAACUGCAAGGACAAUCUAAUACAGAAAGAUUACCAAUAUGGUGUUUUUGAAACUGGUAAUUUACUUUCAUAAGGCAGUUCUAUGUAGAAUUUGCAUAUACUUGCACCCUGAAAUCAUACUCCUCUAAGCAUUAGUCGCUUCCGAGAGUACAUGCCACUUAUCAUCGUCGGAUUGUCAGAGAUAUGAUUUUUCUCUUCCAAACCAUUUUUUUUAACAACUUGUAACAUCACCAUUUGAAGUGCUGUGUGUGCCGCAUGAAGGCACACACAGAGCACGAGAUCGUGAUACCUCGUGUGCUGGUGGCAUGGUGUGCAGGAUGCAAGCAUAGCAAACCAUUUGAAGUGCUAUGCUACCCUAUCAAGAAAGUACUUGUCAGUGUUUUCUAACAUCACAAUUCCACAUGCAAUGACUUGUCUAUCGCAGCAAAUUUUGUCUAGACCUUCUGACAUCACCAUUAAACAAAGUAUUGCGUACUCUACCACCACAAUUUUUGUCGGGGCCUUCAAACAUCAUCAUUCAACAAAGUAUUGUGUUCUCUAUCUCGGCAAUUUUUGUUGGGUCUUCUAACACCACCAUUCAAUAGAAGUGUUACCUUUUCUAUUUUGGAAGUUUUCGCCAAAGAAUUGCACGGCAAAUUUUGUCAGGAUCUUGUGGGUCCAACAUAUCCAAAAGAAAAUUUAAAGAAGUAUAUUAUUUCCAUCAGCGGCACCAACCAAGAAAUUGAUUUAUUUUCCCCGAGCACACAAGAAAAAAUUGCUCCACUGAGUUCUAGUAGAGGAAAAAAGAGUAAAAUGCAUUAGAGGUCCAUUAGCUUGAGGAGAUGUCAUCUAGGUCCAUCAACUCUCAAACUGUAUUUUUGGGUCCUAAACUUUUUAAAUGCUUCACCAGAGGUCCAUACCCCCUCGUUUAUGUUUGUAUUUUGCAUGGACCACUCUUCGUCUUCUGAGCACAUGGAAAAAUUAUUCGUUCAGUUUGGUGACAUUUAAACCCUGAAGUUCCUUUUAGUUCACAACAGCCAACCGAAAGCCAUACACCAGAAGCACCACUAAGACCACCUGAAAAUAGAAUGGGUGCCCCAACCCAAACUGGCAAUCCGAGCAAAAAUCUCCAAACAGCACCAUGUGAGGAAAUGCUAACAUGGUAAAACCGAAUUUGGAAGCACAGCAUGCAUCCAGGGAUAUCCACUAGCUACAAUCACAAGUUGGCCAGCAUUUCCUAUCUUGUAUAAGCUAUAUAUCAAGAACAGCACUUCAACAGCUAUACUGCACAUAAUCCAACAGCACACACCGAAUCGAACCACGUGAAUCCAUUUGAGUUGGAAGCUGAAAUAUUGAGCUAGAAUCUAGCAGGCACGCACUAACUAAUAACAGCGUGUCUAAGAAAGUGACAAAAGAGCACGGGAAAUGGCCAAGUUGCUCCCGAAAGGAAACAGGAGACGCAACUGAAAAAAUCGUCGAAUUUGGUCUAAGUUGCCCAUCUAAAGAAGCGAACUUUGCAGCUUCGCCAAUCUGCAAGAACCAACUGAGCUGAAAACUAAGCAAGUCAAUCACUAAGUCACUGCUCGUGGAGUCCGUACGACGAAACAGGUUUUAAAAUUACGGCGGAAGAUUGAAGCGAGUCGCGCGAGAUCCCGCAAUGCGGGCUGACCUGCGAACGCUGCGCUCGGAUCCCGCGCCGCCGCGCGGCCGUCGCCGCGCCCCACGAAGGGCGGCAGCAGGAAGAGCGCGGAGAGAGCCACGGCGGCGCCGAGCAGCAGCGCGGCCGCGCAUUGCGGCCGCACGGCCCCGCAGCACCCACGGCUACACCGCCCUCCUCUUCCUCCUCCGCCGCUUCCCCCUGCGCCUCCCUCCGCCGGCGUCGGCUGCUCCCGCUGCUGCUGCCCCUCGCGCUCCUCCUUCCCCAUGCCGCGCCCGCACGCCCUCACGCAUCGCCGCCCGCAGCCAUUGCGGCCUACCUCUGGUGUGGUGAGGCUGAGCACAAGCUAGGGUUCUCGCGCUGCUGCUUCUGCUGCCGCCCGCCGCCGACGCGCACGGGUGGGAAUGUGGGAUGGUCGAGUUCGCGGAGCGGCUUGCGAGGACAAAGAAGUGUGUUGCGCACAGCACAGCGCAGCGCAGUGAUGUCCGCUUCGCUCCGAGCCCGUGAGCAAACGUGUGUAACUAGUGUAGUGUAGUGCGGCGUUGGACGUUGGUGGUUUGAAACGUACAGUACGUUUGUGUUGUGCUGGGUUCUUAUAAUAACUUUUAAAAUUUGGGUAUUGCUAAUUUGCUAUAUAUAUUAGAGCAUCUCCAGAAAUUUAGUAUAAUUUACUUAUUAAACUAAUCAAUUUAGCAAGUUAAUAAAAAAAUAGCAACCUUAAAUUUUGUUCUUCUCCAACAGUCUCCUAUAAUAACUUUCUAAUAGUUAUAGUAGGGCCCACAUUUAAUGAUUUUUUUGGUUUAUUAUGUUGUUCAUCAAAAAUUAAAAAGAAAAUUGCAUCUUUUGUUGGCACUGCACUGAAGCAAGCACUAGCUCAGCAAGACGUGCCUAGCUUUUAUGACUUCCGACCAAUAAUGUAAGUGAUGAUCAUAUACCUUGUUUAGGCCUUGUUUAGAUCCAAAAACUUUUUGGAUUUUGACACUGUAGCACUUUCGUUUUUAUUUGACAAACAUUAUCCAAUCUUGAAGCAACUAGGCUUAAAAGAUUCGUCUCGUGAUUUACAAGUAAACUGUGUAAUUAAUUAUCUUUUUUAUUUAUAUUUAAUGUUCUAUGCAUGUGCCGCAAGAUUCGAUGUGAUGGGGAAUCUUGUAAAGUUUUGGGUUUUUGGGUGUAUCUAAACAAGGCCUUAGUUCACUCCAAAAAUCAAAAGGUUUUCAAGAUUCUCCGUCACAUCGAAUCUUGCAGCACAUACAUGAAGCAUUAAAUAUAGACGAAACCAAAAACUAAUUACAUAGUUUGCCUGUAAAUUGCGAGACGAAACUUUUAAUCCUAGUUAGUCUACGAUUGGACAAUAUUUGCCACAAACAAACGAAAGUGCUACAGUAGCGAAAUCCAAAAAGUUUUCACAUCUAAACAAGGCCUAAAGAUAGCAGGCUAUGCACAUGUGAAGGCAACAUGCCAUGUUUUCGAACCAAAGAUCAAUAACACCCGUGGAGGUAAGCACGGAGCGAUAGUAUUGACGUAUAGGGCGGCGACAAUGGAGGCCAGUACAUACCAAUGGCUGUCGGACUAGAGGACUGUACGAGAAAUGACAUGAAAACAAGUCCAAGGAGAAGAGAUAGGGAGUUCUCUCAACUUUGGAAAUUUAUAAGUUGAGGAGGAUAUUUGACAACUUUUUAUUUUUAAGGAGCUAUUUUUACCAAAUUGCUAGAGGAAGCUUUUUUAUUUUUUUGCUAAAAUAUUAAGAUAGAGAGUUGUUUUAUCAAACUUCUAGAGAUGCUAUUAUUAUUAGAUUUUAACUGAUCUGUAUAUCUAUUAGAUUUCUUUGAAAACUAACGGUGUGGAUUUUUUUUUUCUUUCUAGCUUUAUCUCUUCCAUUUUAUCUCUCUCCAUAGAGUCCACUUUCUUUCAUCCGGCGUGGCCGGGUGGCAGCAUAAAGAAGGACCGAUAUGAUGCUUGGCUCAGGCAAAGUCGCCGCAUCAACAACAACAACUAGAAGGGCUAUGCAUAUAAUUGUUUUGAGUGAAACUCUGAUGCAUAAUGUGACAGCGAAGAUGAGAACCAAUCAAAGUCACUUGCUGGCAUUACCAUCAACAAGAAGCCUUCUAUCUAGGGCCUUGUUUAGUUCCGAAAAGAUUUCGGAUUUCGGCACUGUAGCAUUUUCGUUUGUUUGUGGCAAAUAUUAUCCAAUUAUAGACUAACUAGGCUUAAAAGAUUCAUCUCGCGAUUUACAGACAAACUGUGUAAUUAGUUUUUGUUUUCAUCUAUAUCUAAUGCUUCAUGCAUGUGCUUCAAGAUUCGAUGUGACGGGAAAACUUGAAAAGUUUUUGGAUUUCGAGGUGAACUAAACAAGGCCUAAGCCAGAGCCUAGUGGAGGCGAAAUUGAGCUCCCGCCCCCUUAGUUGCAGCAUUUUUUUUAAAAAAAGGCCCUUGUCUCUUUGCGCGAACUUCCAAGCCUAUGCUAGCACCAGUACAGGUAAUUGUUAGGCAGAUAUUGAUUAAGUAGCAAUCAUAGCAGCCCAUUAUAUACUCACUCAACUAACAUGAGCCUCACGGGCCCUGUUAGGGCACUCCCAAUACAGAAACCAUCAUAGUUUCUGUAGACAUUAAUUAUGAUGCCACCUAAGUAUUUUACUGAUGUGGCAAGGUAGUUAUUGAAGAGAGAGAGCAAAAAUCAUAGAAACUGAGUCUAACUUAGAAACCAUGUCUACGCGAGAUCCAAGAAAUAAAGCGAUAUGAUUAGUUGAGAAUGGUGAGAGAAUGAAUGUGAUUGGAUAACAAAUUAUUGUAUAGAAACUAUCCAUGGGAACCAUAGUUUCUAUACAUAGUGUCUAUAGAAAUUAAUAGGUAUAGAAACUACAUGUAGUUUCUAGCACUUAGAGUGCCCUUAGUGUGGCUCCUACACUUCCCCAAUGCUAAUCCAAUAAUUAUGGCUCUCUAGCACCGAUGUACUAUUUAUUAAUACUAACUAUUAGGCAAAUUUACCCCUGCCUCCUAUAUUUUAGUUCAUUCCCUGUUAGUGCUUAUAUCUUUGACACUCCCUCAUCGUGCUUCAUGGCCAUAGACCCUAAGGUACAAUACGAUGAGAGCGAUAGCGGGAGUGACAGUAAGGACGAGGAGCCCUCAAAGGAGGAACUCAUGGAGCUAUUGCAAGAGUCUCAUCCUCUCGUGAACAAGAAGAGAGAGAGAGAGAGAGAGAGAGAGAGAGAGAGAGAGAGAGAGAGGAAUUCAAGGAGUUACACAAGAGAAGCAAAACUCUUGAACAAACCUUUGAGGAGCAUUUGUCUACUUAUGAGGCUUUGAUUGAGGCUCAUGAGGGGUUCAAAGAAGCUCACUCAUCUCUCCUUGCUCAAAGUAAGGCAACCUAUUGAAAUAGCAAGUGUAGGAGUGACGCGAUAUCAUUGAUGAAUCUUUCUAUGCUCUUAUUUGUUGUUUGAAAGGUCCUUGUUUGGUUUUGGUAAUUGAGUGACAACUUAGGUGGACUAAUAGUGUUUGUGUGAGAUACAUAGGAGAUUAGUCCACAGGUGAUUAUGUGAUGAUGGAGGAGCUCAUUGCAUAUGAGACAUGACAUGGAGUCAUGUGACCAAGGUGGAGAAGAUCAAGAUGAGGCUUGGCUUGAUGGACCGGUUGCAAGAGUGAAGGGCAAGUCGGAGGCUUUGAAGCGAGGGACCGCGUGUGACGGUGAAGCUUGAGCAAGACUUGGCGCCGAUGGACCGAGGCAACGGUGAAGAGCAAGUGAGGUCAAGAUCGAUGAACCAAUACGGUCACGUGAUGAUAUGAAGUGGAUCAUAUCUUUUAGUGAUUGGUUGGUGCAUGUGUUGCAUCAACAUUGGAGGAGAUGGAAUGGAAAGCGCAAGGCAAAGGUAUAACCUAGGGCAUUUCCAUUUCACCGGUCAUAGGUGUGUAGAGAAGUUUAUGACCGGAUUUAGGAUAGAUGGCCGUACUAUCAAGAGGGGCAAACUUGUUUGCAUAUCGGUCAUCUAGUGCCACUUGAGCGAUCUAACUUUGCAUACGUGUUAGGAUCGAGUAGCGUGGCAAGUUUGAGAGGCUAACUCCUUUGGGAAAUUGUUUGUGAAAAUGCUAACACACAUGCACAUAGUGGUGUACACUUGUUGGUGUUGGCACACUUUACAAAGGAGGUGGUGUUCCUAGGGUUGAGAGAGGUGUGGGUUUCUCUCUCCCUCCCGCCGAGCUUGCGAGGCGGGAUUCGGUGCUUUUGAGAAAAAUAAGUGUAUUUUUUCUAUUGUGCCGGUGGGAAAUUUGGAGAAGUCGCGGGAGUGUUUCUCAGUUGGAAACACUCACCGGACGCUCAGCGCGGAGGCACCGGACGCUGGCCUUUAGCGUCCGGUGUGCUGUCCGGUGCAGCAGAGUGCACCGGACGCACCGGAGUGAGUCCGGUGCUCAGCGUCCGGUGUGCGGGCUGUUUGGCGACCCUCUCUGCGCACGAGUCCGGUGAGCACCGGACCAUCCGGUGCCUAGCGUCCGGUGAGGUCGCGAGUUUGCCAAACUUUCUGCGCACGAGUCCGGGGAGCACCGGACCGUCCGGUGCCCAUCGUCCGGUGGUGCUGUGCAGGCGCGCAUGCGAAGUAGCCGUUGGCGGCAACGGUCCACUUCAAACGGCUAGUGACACGUGGCGGUCAGCUGAGCACCGGACGCUGGGUGUUGAGCGUCCGGUGGCUCCCUGUGAGCGUCCGGUGCCCACGUGUUUGGUCCAGUGAAGGGGCAACGGCUAGUUUAGCCCUUGGGGCUAUAAAUAGAAGUUGUGGCCGGCCUUGGCUGAUGCUGAGCACCCUUGGGACUUAGUGUCCAUGCUUAGGGAGUGCUAGUGAAGCCUCUAACUCACAUAUGCUUGAUAGUGAUCAUCCGAUUGUGUGAGCGAUUCUAGUGCGUUGCAUUGAGAGAUUGCAUCGAGUGGCACUAGGUGUUCGUGUUGCAAGCCGGUGGUGCUUGUUACUCUUGGAGGUUGCCACCUCCUAGACGGCUUGGUGGCUUGUGACUCCGUCGAAGCACGCAAGGAGAUUGUGCGGUGCUCCGGAGAAGAGAUUGUGAGGGGUACGGUGCUCACCCCGCGGAGAUCGCGAAGAGCAACUCUAGUUGAGCGAGACAUGAAGAGCGACAAGUGGUCCGGCCGGGUCAAGUGCUAGAGCUUGUGGUAAGCACUCCACGUGGGAGAGUGUGACUUGCGGGUCACCACUAGCAAGAGGACCGGCGGCAACCUUGGAGCUUGUCUCAACGGGGACGUAGCUUGGUGGCAACCAAGUGAACCUCGGGAGAAAAUCAUCGUGUCAACUUUGUUCUUCCCGUUGGUUUGCAAGUCCCUAACACAAGCUUGUUCUUACUUUCAUAUAUUUGUGCUUGUGUAGUUGCUCUUGUAAUUAGUUAGCUUGUGUAGCUUGCUAGUUACCUUCUUGCUUGUGUAGCUAGAAGUAGUUCCCUUGCGUGACUAAUUUGGUUUGUGUAACCUUGUUAGUCACAUUGCUUAGUUUGUGUAGCUAAGUAAGUUGCGCUCUCUAAUUUGGCAUUAGUUGCCUUGUUAUUGAGCUUGCUAGUGAGCUUAGGCUUUGUGCGCUUUGCCUCACUAGUUUGUGUAGGAGCUCCCCCGGUUUGCAAAGUACUAGUUGCAUAGGUUUGUGUGACCUUGCUCCUAGAAUUGGUUAGGAGAGCUCUUGCUAAGGUAGCACCUUGCUUGCUUGUUUAGGAUCUUUUCAAGGUGCUAGAGAACUUAGAUAGAGGGGUGUAGUCUUGGCUAGACCGAUAGUUUUAAUUCCGCAUUUGUUUCGGUUAGCCGGCGCGAUAAGUUUUAGAAAGGACUAUUCACCCCCCUCUAGUCCGCCAUCUCGACCCUUCAUUUUUGCUCCUAAUACAUCUUGUAACACUAGCAAAAGCAAUCCCUUUGGGCAAUGGAUUCACUUGUAAAUUCAUCCUUCAUUGUGGAAAAUGAGACACUCAACGAGGAGGUGCUCACUCAUGCACUAGGCAAGGCUUAUGGCGAUGAGGCCCACUUGCUAAAAUGCUUGGAGCCAAAGGUUUUGCCUUAACAAGGGUCUUGGCAAUUAUUGGUGUCUGGACCCGUGACCCAGGCACCAACGAGUGAUUGUGAUUUUAUGUGUCCCUGUACCCAGAUGGUGAUGCAAGAAGGACAUAAGAUUUAUACUGGUUCGGGCUGACGAUACCCUACGUCUAGUGUGAGGAUCGAGCCUUGUUUUAUCUUGCACCCAAAGUGCUCGUAGUAGGGGUUACAAGUGAGCUGCGAGAGAGGAAAUGUGCCCUAGGUCUCGGCAGGUGAUGUGUGGCGUGUCGAAGUGUUGUUGUGUGAUGGUGGUGAUUAACGUGCCCCCUGUGGUGUGUCUCUGCCUCUCCUUUUAUAGUCACAAGGGGAGUCAGGGUUUACAUGUACUGUGGCAUAGUUUACUACUAAUGUAUAGGCUAGGGAUGGCCUUGACACUGUAGUGGUGGGGUGCCCCAUUCCUAGGACUGUGGUUGCGACGUGGUGGCCUCUAUUGAUCGUGCUGAGCCAUCCCUAACGCUGUGGAUUUGACGUCCGACCCUGUUUAUGCUUUACCGAGCCCUGCUGAGGGUCAUGGCCUUCUCUCCAAGGCCUCUUCCUUUAACCGGGACUAGGCGGUGGUCGUAAUGGCCACAUCGUUUAAGACUUGAUGUUUCCCAUGCCUCUUGACUCAGCUUACGCAUAGUUGCAGGCGUUAGUUGCUGCAGUGAUGGGAGCAGAUAGCAUAGUGAGCGCCUCUCCCUGCCAUGGCAAGGGCAGGAGCGUGCCCUGCGUCCUCUCCACAGUGCGGCUGGCGUGCGUGGGAAGCCUGGGGGUAGGGAAUCUCAACUGAGACCAGGGGUCGAGUGAGGCGGAGAAUCAGCCCGAGACUAGGGGUCGGGCGAGGCGGAGAAUUCUUCCGUCCCUCGGGGCUUGGGUUCGAGCGAAUCGGAGAGAAUCCCUAUUAUCUUGAGUCCCGUCCUGGGCCGGUGGGGAGUCAUCACGGCCCAUCCUAGUAGCGUUUAUUAAGGCCUACGAGCCUUUCAGAACUGCACUGGGCCUUUGUUUUUGUUUUAAUUUGUGUACCUCGACUUAUGGUACCCGACAGCUAUACUUCCAAGAAAGGUAAAGUGACCCUUGUUACUCAACAAACACAAUUUGUGAGGAGCAAUGGUCGGUUUUGCAGCAAGUGCAAACAAGUUGGACACUUAGAACAACAUUGCAACAACUAGACUAACACCAUAUCUUUAAUUAAGUCUGAUUCUUGCUAUUUUACUUUUCAAAGGUACAAAUAGCGUUUAUGCUAAGUUUGUUGGUGCACCUAUUGUUGGUUCAAAGAAGAAAGUCAUUUGUGUGCCAAAAAAGCUUACUAACCUUGGAGGACCCAAGCAAGUUUGGGUACCUAAAAAGAACUAUCUCCUUUUGUUGGUGAACUACAGGGUCGGAGGAAGGGAUUGGGUGCUUGAUAACGGGUGCACUCAAUAUAUCACCAGGAGAUCAAUGGAUGUUCAACUCAAUUGACUUAAGUGAUAGUGAUGAAUUCGGAGCAUAAUAUUUGGUGAUAAUGGUAAAGGCAAGACCAAAGGACUAGAAAGCAUUAUAAUAUCAAAUGACAAUGUUCAUAUCAAAAGUGUGUUUACCUUGUGUGGCAUUUACCUUUCUAGAUUAGCUACAAGUUAGUUGAUUGGAUUGGCUAUAGGUUCUAAACUAGUUGAGGGGUAGGCUAGAGCCCACUAAGAAAAAUUUAAAUGCACAUCUUACUAGAAUAGUUUAUACUCUGUUCAUAUCUAUAAAGAAAGUCGUUUACAACAGCGACACGGUCUUCAAAGCUUAACUUUAACUCUUUGUUUUUAUAAAAAUAUUUAUCAAAAAGUGGUAUAUGUAUUUUUAUGAAAAUAUUUUUCAAGACAAAUCUAUUUAUAUAUUUUUUACAUUUUCAAACUCAACAGCUCAAAAGUUAUUCAUGAUUUAUAUUCUUAAUAUUUGACCCAAACUUUGUCCAAAGUGACUUUCUUUAUAGGUAUGGGGAGAGUAAUUUUUUUCUUUCUAUGUCGUUUGAAGAUGAACCUAUUAGUUUUCCAGAUCGUUUGUUUGAAAAUUUCCGUUACUAGUAAUUGUGUUUUACAUAGACUCUUUAUUUGGUGUAUCUUUGUUUUUUAAUUUGCUUGGCAACAGAUGGAAACAUGCAUAGAGCCACUAAAAGGCCGUGUUUAUAUUCACCCAAAAAACAAAAAAUUUUAAAAUUUUCCGUCACAUAAGAUUUUGUAGCACAUGUAUAAAGUAUUAAAUAUAGAUGAAAAUAAAAACUAAUUGUACAUUUUACUUGUAAAUCGCGAGAUAAAUCUUUUAAAUCUAAUUAGUCUAUAGUUGAAUAAUAAUUGUCAAAUAAAAAUAAAAAUAGUACAGUACCUAAAACUAAAAAAAAUAGAACUAAACAUGGCUUAAACCCCGUGACGGACUGACGAAUGGUCACAUUGGGCCCGAGAUUGGAGAAAUGACGUCCACGUGGCUAAGUGAUGGCUCGAGGAGAGACCGAAAGACGGUUGGGACGUUGCGUUGCGUCGGAGUAGGCAAAGACGUACCUAUUCUCGGCUCGUCACGCUCACGCACCUGUGCCUUGUGAGCUGGGAAGCGGAAAUAUCUUGGGAGCCGCGGCCGCGUGGUGGGUCAGGACUUCAGGUUUUCGUGUAGGAUAGUUUGGGUAAUUUAAAAUUCAGGUAAUAAAAACUGUUAUCCGAUAUUAGUUAAUUUCGGGUACCUGAUAAUUCAGGUUUGGAUUCGGGUAUUCUCGAUUUACCUAAGUUUAUAGAAAAUAACGAACUACACAAAAUUUCAAUAGCAAUUUAUAUAUAAUUUCAACAACAAUUUGUAUAGAAUUUCAAUAGCAUUUUAUAGAGAAUAAUAUAUUACGGUCACUUGUUCAAACAAAGAGAAUUAUAUUCUAAUAAAUUGGUAAGUUUUAAUGUUUAACUAACAACACAUGAUAAAUACAAAGAUAUAGACAAAUAUUUGGGUAAUUUGGGUACUAAGGUAUAUUAUCCGAAUUACCUAAUCUAAAUUCGGGUAAUCAAAAUCGCUAUCCGAAUUUAGGAUUAGGUACCUCUGGAUAGAGAAACGAACUAAAGGAGAAUACUUAAUAAUACGGCGAAACAUUUAUACAAAACACCUAUCCCAAACACACGCAAGGGAACCAUAGACAGACAAGUGAAAUCCAAUCCACGAAAUAAAUUGAUCCAUGGACGGCACCGUUGUGAUAAAGGUCGUAAUGCCAGAGGAAUCAUUACCUCAAGACAUAGAGGGGAUGUCAUAAGCGCCUAUACUGUAAAAUCGACUUUCGACGGAAUCAAAAAGACAUAUCUAGUAGAAUCGUAACCAUAUAAUACGACCCUAAUCAAAAUGCAUACAUUUGUCUCAUACACUACCAGGCUUAACUUCGGCCUUGUUUAGUUUUAAAAUUAUUUUGGAUUUUGGCACUGUAGCAUUUUUGUUUUUAUUUGACAAAUAUUAUUCAAUCAUAGACUAACUAAACUCAAAAGAUUUAUCUCGUGAUUUACAGGCAAACUAUGUAAUUAGUUUUUAUUUUCGUCUAUAUCUAAUACUUCAUGCAUGUGCUUCAAGAUUUGAUGUGACGAGAAAUCUUAAAAAGUUUUUGGUUUUCGAGGUGAACUAAACAAAGCCUUCGAGAGGGCCGCCAAAAAGCUACAAAGGACUACGGAUCUCAGCCUCAGGCAUUGUUUUUUUUUCACAACAGACACCGUAGAAUAUUAUACAAUCAUAAAUUAAUUAGGUUUAAAAUAUUCGUCUCAUAAAUUAUAGAUAAACUAUAUAUUAAUUAUUUUUUUUAUCUAUAUUUAAUAUUUUAUGUGCAAUAAAAUUCGAUGUGACGAAAGAUCUAAAAAGUUUUGUAAUUUUUUUAAGCCUCAGCUGGAAGUCCCGUCCCGUUACGACUCUUCGCCGCGUCCGCGUAUCUGAUGCCCUCAACCAGCGGGGCCAGGUGUUGGCACGCUUGUCCGGCCCUGGGACUGGGAGGAGACACCUGGCUCGGACUGGUGCGUUCUGGAACUACUAAACAAUGGGACUGGGAGUUGUUGUUGAAACUGGAGUUAGCUGGCUCCCUCGUACUCGCUCGCACACUGUAACAAGCGCUACACUGCUACGCGCACACGGCAGGUCCAACCACUGUUUCCAGUCACGAUUUGGUUAGUUGGACCAUUGGCUGAAACAGAUUAUAAUAAGGUAACUUUUGUUCCUUAUCAAAAUUGCAUUAACAACUUGGUGGUAGAAAUCUAUGUUUCUCGUAAGGAAGGAGUCAAAGGUCAAAGGCCUAUAAGUUUAUUAUUUGCUUUCGCAUUUGUAGGAAAAGAAUAAAAAAUAAGAGAAAUUAAAAUGGGAAGAGCAGUGGAUGCCGAUGACCCAGGCGGAAGUGGACCAAUGUUAGCCCUUGUCAAGGAUCGCACCGGUGUAUCCAUAUAGCUCACAAAUAUAUCUAUUUAUUACACUAACAAAUUAGUUGGACCAGAUUGAACCAAGUAAUAAUAAGAUAAGUUUUGUUCCUAAUCAAAUUGUAUCAAUAUUUGUUGGUGGAAUCACUCUUCCUCAAGAAAUAGAGAUUUUUACCACCAAUUUAUCCUAAUCAAGAUAUGUUUUGUGUUCUUAAUCAGAAUUGCAUUAAUAAAUUGGUGGUAAAAAUCUCUAUUUCUUGAGGAAGGGGUCAAGGAUUCAAAGGGCAAUUAUUGGCUUUGAAAUUAUGAAAAAGAAUAGAAGAAAUUAGAACGAGGAGGUGGUGGAUGCAUAUACAGUAGGAAGAAACAAAAUGGGUGGAAGUGAACCUAUGUGUCAAGGAUGGUCGAUCAUUACGAUAAGAGACGUCUCUUGAUUUUUCAUAUGAUAUUUCUCGUUGAGGAUUAUAGCAUGCAUAUAAUUUGUAAAAACAUUUAUUUAGACUAUACUAGAUCAUAAUUUACUCAAGAUUUCAUUUCCCGGUUUGAUUACUUGGGCCUAGAUGAAUCAGGUUAUAAUAAGAUAAGGUCGGUUCCUAAUCAAAAUGUGCCCAUGCAAUUCAAUGGAACCCAAUAUAUCUUGAUAUCGAACUCUGUAUCAUUGUUGGAUGCGAGUUGUUCUGAUGUUAUGAGUCUGGAUUACAUAUGGUCAUAUGGAACAUAGAGGGUGGAGGGGCACUUAGGAAAAUAAAAAAAGACAAUUACAAGAAUACCUUCACCAUAUAAUGUUGUAUAGAUAUAUUUAUGGAUAGAUAUAUAGGUUUUGUUCCUAAUCAAAAGUGAACAACUUGGUGGUAGAAAUAUCCGAUUCUUUAGGAUUAGGAUUAGGAUAGGAAGGAGUCAAGGGUUCAAACGCCCAUACCAUUAUAUUUAUUAAUUUGAUUUUUAUACAUGUUAUACACUGAUACAUAUAGACUAUAUUGAAUUACAAAUUAACUGCUUAAAGUUUUAGUUUAUGUUUUGCUUAUUUGGAAUUUGUUGAACAAGGGUACAACAAGAUAAGUUUUACUUUUACUAAUCAAAUAAGAGAAGUAUUGUACUAAUUAAAAUUGUGUCAAUCACUUGGUGAUAGAAAUAAUCUCUUUCUCAAAGAAGAUUUCAAGUCAAAUGCUCUAAAUAUUAUAUAUUAUUAUUUGUUUUUGACAUCUUUGUAUAAAAAAAUAAAAAACCUUCUGCGCGAACAAAAUUGGACGAGGAGGGCAAUAUUAACUAAAAAAAGAACCAAAGCACGAGAGGCAAAUAUAAACGUGUGAACAAAAUCAAGACCAAGACCAAAGAGUAUUAACAACUCCUGUUUAAUACCACCUUCUAUCCUAAAUUAUAGGCCAUUGUUGGGUUCUCUAGGUACAUAGUUUUUUUUGUCAUGUACCUAAAUAUAUGAUAUGUCUAAAUAUAAAUAUAUAAUUAAAGUUGUAUAUAUAUAUCUAGAAAAGCCAAAACAACCUAUAAAUUAGUACACAGUGAGUGAGUAUUUACUUACUCCUUAAAAGGAAAGAAACACCUAUUUCCUCUGUCUCAAAAUAAGUUUUCAUCUCGCAUUUUAAAGAGUCAACUAAUCUCAACUUUAACUAGGUUUAUAGAAAACAAUAUCAACAUUUGUAUCUCUAAAUAGAUUUACUAUAAAAAUAUAUAACACGAUUAGUUCAAUGAUAUUUAUCUCGUAUCGCAAGUAUUAGUAUUUUCAGUAUACGCUUAGUUAAAGUUAAGACUUUAUUUUCCUUCGGGCGCUAGAUGCAGAUUUGUCUUCGGACAGAUCAGCGCUCCUAGCAGGCGCACCGCGCUGUGUACGCACCACGUGGACGCGAAGCCGUUCCCGAAAGUUUCUUCCUAUACGCAUACGCCGGUUCGCAAGAGUUCGCAACCAUCACGGCCUCCACUUCCCCGUGACGAUCCCAUAUAAGCCGUCUCCGCCACCCACAGAGCCACGCGUCGGACGGAACGCACAGGGAUAGAGGAGGCCAGGCGAGGCGAUCUCUGCGGGUUUGCUCGCUCCAUCGGUAGCCCUAGGCCGCCGCCGGGCGCCCGCGCGGUGCUCACGCGCCCCACCCCGCUCCGCUCAGGUGCGAUGCGUUCGAUGCCUUCGUGUACUAGUCCUCCUCGUCGUCGUAAUUUUGUUGCUUGAUCGGUGGUUCUCCCUACAUCGAACUAUCGAUCGCGGUUUGGUGCCUGUAAUUUUCCUUUUAUUAUUAUCUGUUUUCCUGAUGAUGCCGCGCGGGAUUGGGAAGCCCCGGCCGCUCGGUCUCAGUUCUCCGGCGCCGCAAAGCAGUUAGGCGCGCGAGGACGCGCGGGCGCCAGUCCGCCGGAUCUUGUGCAGAUUGUUGUGCCUGACUAGUCCUCACAAGAUUUCUGGACCUGCAUGGGUUGUUUUGUCUUGAUCUAACCUUUUGUUCUGAAAUACGCAUGCGGUUGCUCUCGAUGACGAUUGAUGAAGAAACAUGUGUAAUACUGUAUCGUGAUGCAGAGUGCUCUGCUCUUUUCAGGUUUCCUUUAUAAUAUCUGCGUAUCUAGUUUACAUGGCUUGGUUAGUGAAGUAGAUUCAGAGUCUACAUGUGUAUCUAGUUUAUAUGGCUUGGUUAGUGAAGUAGAUAGAUUCAUAACUUCUCUGUGUUUGUUUACGUGGCUGGCUUAGUGAAACAGAAAAACCGUGGAAAUGGUCUAGUUCGUUAGGAUGGAUGUUUAAGUGCUCUCCAAAAAAAAAAAAAAAGAUGGAUGUUUAAGUAAAGAUAUGCACUUUGGAUGUUGGAAUUAAUGAAGUGUCCUUCUAGAUAUCUCCUGGUUGCUUAUUUUUCUUUAUGUGAUGCCAUCAUGUUCUCCAAUUUGAAAAGUGUGCUUAGUACUUUUGUAUACAUUUAAAGCUCUUUGGUUUCACAUUAUGAUAUUUCUUUCUAAUAAAAGCGAUAAUAUGCAGUGCACUUAUGUUGCAAUCUGCAACUGGCUCUAAGAUUUUACUCUAUGCUUGGUGUAGAAUUUCAUUUCACAGAUUAUGAUUAUUUCCUAUAUUCAAAUAAAGUUUCCUUUCUGUUUUCACAUAGAACAAACCCAAGGAAAUGAAUUAAAACAAAUGUGUUAAGCAUAUAGUAUGUAAUCGUAAAAUAUUCGUAAAUCAAGAUUUUAAGUUAGUCAUUAAUCUUAGCUUCUCUAUUGGGCAUUUAUCGAUUGUUGCUUGUGUUUGCGGCAUUGACGAGUGCACACUUCUUGACUGAAUUUUCCUUCAAUUUCUCUGUUCUUGGCUUUUCCAACUUACUAAUGCAUCUUAGCAUAUUGCAGCCUUGCAUAUAUUAUGGGGUAAUUUGCCAUUGUUUAAUCAGUUUUAACUUGUAUUUUCCACCUGUGUAUUACAUGAUUGCAUCAGCUGGCACAUUGUUAAUUAUGUUUUCUUUGGGACACUCGUUUGGAUUAAAGUUGAAAGUAUGCUAUUAGUGUUUUUUCAAACCUGCAUUAGUGUUUUUUCAUCUAUAAAAAGCCCCUAUGCGGUCUGGUGUUUUAGUGCCACUUUAGCUAUUGACUUGCUGUUAUCAUUUUCUGACUUUGCUAACUGCCUCAUAGGUGAAGGCUGGUCCUUUAAGCACUUAAAGAUGGGCGAGGUACACGAAGCUGACAAGAAUAUUGAGAUCUGGAGGGUCAAGAAGUUAAUCAAGGCGCUUGAUGCUGCAAGGGGCAAUGGCACUAGCAUGAUUUCUCUCAUCAUGCCACCUCGUGAUCAGAUUUCACGCGUCACUAAGAUGCUGGGUGAUGAGUAUGGAACUGCCUCAAACAUCAAGAGCAGAGUCAACAGACAGUCUGUGUUGGCUGCCAUAACCUCGGCUCAACAGAGGUUGAAGCUUUACAGUCGAGUUCCCCCCAAUGGCUUGGUGCUCUAUACUGGUACCAUUGUCACCGAUGAUGGCAAAGAGAAGAAGGUUACCUUUGACUUUGAGCCAUUUAGACCCAUUAAUGCUUCCCUGUAUCUCUGUGACAACAAGUUUCACACUGAGGCACUGAAUGAGCUUCUGGCAUCUGAUGACAAAUUUGGUUUCAUAAUCAUGGAUGGCAAUGGAACACUGUAUGGCACGCUGAGCGGAAACAGCAGGGAGGUUCUGUACAAGUUCAGUGUUGAUCUCCCAAAGAAGCAUGGGCGAGGAGGGCAAUCUGCAGUCCGCUUUGCCCGCUUGCGCAUGGAGAGGCGACACAAUUACCUGCGCAAGGUUGCUGAGCUUGCGACACAAUACUUCAUCAAUCCUGCCACCAACCAGCCAAACAUCGUUGGGCUUAUUCUUGCCGGUUCUGCUGACUUCAAGAAUGAACUUGGUAAAUCUGAGAUGUUUGAUCCGCGUCUUCAGGCCAAAGUAGUCAAGAUGAUUGACGUGUCUUAUGGUGGGGACAGCGGCUUCAACCAAGCCAUCGAGAUGUCCGCUGAGGUUCUUUCUGAUGUUAAGUUUGUCCAAGAAAAGAAGCUUAUCGGGAAGUACUUUGAGGAGAUAAGCCAAGACACAGGGAAGUAUGUCCUUGGCGUCGAGGACACCAUGACAGCCCUGGAAAUGGGCGCUGUAGAAAUCCUGAUUGUGUGGGAAAACCUUGAUGUCAGGCGUUAUGAGCUCAAGAACAGUGUCACAGGAGAAACAGUUGUGAAGUACCUGAACCCCACUCAGGAGGCUGAUCAGAGCAACUUUACUGACGCGGCGACAUCCGGAGAUCUGGAGGUCAUUGACAACACACAGCUGCUGGAGUGGUUUGCUGAGAACUACCACCAGUUUGGCUGCUCGCUUGAGUUUGUCACCAACAAGUCCCAGGAAGGUUCUCAGUUCUGCCGGGGAUUUGGCGGGAUCGGUGGGAUCCUCCGCUACCCAGCCGAUGUCAGUGCCUACCAGGAUGGUGACUUGUCUGAUGGGGAGUAUGAUGAAGACUUCGAAUAGCAAUCAGCCGAAACUCAAAUGAAUCCGGUCCGGGAGGAGCCUGUGCUGGCCCGGGCCGCGCCGGGACAGAACCCUGAAACUUCCAAACGAUCGGUGCAAGGAAACCAUGGUCAGUAGUGUUGCCGAUCGAGAAGAAUUUAAGUUUUUCUUCUUGAUGUUGCAACUGGGUUUUCGUUUGUUUCUCUUGACUGACACAUCUUUUAUUUCCAGGUGGGGGAUCUGCAGGGAAGGAGGUUUGAGCAACAUGGAAUAUAUAUAUGAUGAAGCUUGUGUGAAGUGUGGUGACGUUGGUUCUUUGGAGACGGUGUCUUGCUCUGUUGGUCCGAGCUUGCAGUCUGGUGAUGCUACAAGGAAUCAACCAUGGAGGGUGCCUUCUGUUGGUCAGGAGAGCUUAAGUAAUAUAAUCAACUAGCAUCCUAUUAAUAUUGAGUCGGUGCCAGAGUAGUGUGGUGAAUAAAGUGCCUGUGAGACAGGCGGUCGUGUUGGCCUAGUCGUUAAGGUUGGUUUGAGCGGCUGCGUUGCCGAUGCAGCUGUCUUUUUUUAUUUGUUGAUGAAUUUCUUGAACUGAGGUCGUGGUGUGCUUGCACUCUAUAGUCCUGGUGUUCUACAUUCCCAGUCUGCGUUGCAUGUUCGCUUUAUGACGUGCGUGAUAUCUAUGAAGUGAACCUGAACCUGCCUAAUUAAUUAGUUACAGGCCCGUACCGGAGAAUUUUAGGCAUACAAAUGGGGCCUUUAUAUUAGGGCGUCCUCAACGGUGAUAUGAAAUCGCUAGCGAGGAGUGCAACCAAAAGAAAUAAAUAAAUGUCUAGCAGCAUAGCUCACAUAGCACAGACACAGCAAAUCGACGAACAUCUCGCUAGCACUGAGUUUUUUUUAAUAUUUCUUUAUUGUCCAUGUACGCAAAUCAAUGGCUUGCACGCGCUUGUUGAGGACGCCCUUAUAGUAACUGAAGAGUAUUUGGCUAUUUUUGAGAGAAAAGAGAAUCCAACAGCUAUUGUAUUUGGUUUGCUAAAAUAGCAAGUCAUCUAUCCCGGAGUUCUCGCAUGGUAAAUAUAGCUUGCAUGUUCCGCUAGCCAUAUGAUUUGCCGUAUUAGAAAGACUGUUGGAGAUUUUUGUUUUUUUACAUGAUUUUCUAUUUUAGAAGUUGGCUAAAUCUUGAAUUUAGCCAUCCAUUUUUAUCAACUCUCUUAGAGUUGCUCUUAUAUAGCAACACAAAUAGUUAAAGUGCAAACUGUUUCCUGUUUCAUGGCCGGAAUCAUAUUUUCUAAUUCUAGAAGACAUGAGAUCAAAAUAGAAUAUCCUGUGUCACGAAUAAACAUCCAACGAAACAAAUCGAAAAGACAAACAUAUAAUGGAUUUACUAAUUAACUAAGAAAGUAAAGAGCAUGUAUCUGGGAGGUUGAUCGCCUGUUGGAUACCAAAAUUGCAGUCUGAAUUCAUGAAUUCAUGAGAAGAACAGGCGGCGAUGGCGGUGACCUUAGUUUGGCUUCGCUUCGAUCCCGCAAUUCGGAUGAAAACACAACGCACAAGUGCACAGCUCACGUAUUAUCUUGUUUGGAUGUAGUCGGAUUCAUAUUAAUCUACAUGUAUUGAGGUGGAUUGGAGUGGAAUUUGAACUAAAUUCCACCCCAAUCUACAUCAAUACACAUGGAUUGAAGUGAAUCCGACAACAUCCAAACAAGGCCUAAAACUACCAGACCAACAGACUGCAUCAGAAAGAAAAAACAAAAACCAAAAGGCCCAUACUACUUUCUUGAAGCCCAAUCAGAGGGGCCCCUUGAAUUUGGGGGCCUUGCCCCACUUGCAUUGGGCCAAAUAAGAGCCUGCUUAGUUAUUUGCUGAUUGUGCCCAUGUCUGUUUCUUGUUAUUUCUCAUACUCCGGUCUCUUGCAGUUAAACAUAUUAAACGCAUGUUGAACCCUGCGGUUCUCCCCCUAGCUACGUCACCCGAAAAUCCCACGUUCAGCCACGUCGUCCCGAAUUGCCUUGUGGACAGCAGCUCGCCACGUCGCUAGAAAAUCUUCCAUGAAAUGGUGGCCAUGCGUUCAAUAAAAAAAAUCACCAUUCCCCCCUCCUCUCUCUCUCUCCCGAGACACCGGCGCCCUCUGCGGGCAGCACGCCGCCAGCCCCUUCACCUCUGCCACCCCACGCAGCUCAGCCUCCAUGCCGAGUAUGCAACAUAGAAGAGUCUUCUUCGUGAGAUUCUUUGGUCAGGCUCCGUUUGGUUACAGCGAGGAAUCGUUCCGGUCGUGGAAAGCUUAUGUACAUUAACAAGUAAGGGGCUGUUUGUUUGAAGGGGAAUGAAGCCCUGAAAAUAUUCCAACCGAUUGUAUUUUGUAUAGGCCACCUAUAUCAGGAUUCAUUCCUGACCCGAAACGACAGUAAACGAACGAGGCCUAAAAGAAUUCAGCUGGGAAUUGUUCCGGAGGUCAUUCCUGGGAACCGAACGGGCCUCAUGAUAGUUUUACUCCACAUAUUGUACUUAAGUUUUAAGUUACCUGAUCGGGGGUCAUUCCCUACGAACCGAACUGGGCCUCAUGGUAGUUCUACUCUACAUAUCCUAAGCGUCACUUUAUUGCAUCUUUUAAAUUUGGUUUAGUUUUGAGAUCUAAAGCUAUUUACAACUUAAGUAUAAUUUAGAUGGUUUUUUUAUAUUUGUGUAAUUCAAAGUGCUUAUAACGUAUUUAUGUAACCAGCUAUUAUCUAAUAUACUUCUUCUUUUGUCACAAAAAAAGUUUUAAGUUACCUGAUAGUGAUAGGCUGUACAUUGAAAUUACAGGCAAUAAAAGAAUUAUUAUUUAUCUCUUUUAUAUGCUUGUUUUAUACGUUUAAAUCCAAAUUGAGAACUUGUAUUAAUUUUGUAAGCUCCUAAAUUGAAAUGGUGGAUCGCUUGUGAUUAUUUCGAGUUGUUUUGCCGCUCUAUAACUUUGGUUAAUGAAUUAUUUCUCAUCAUAAAAAAUAACAUGUAAGCAUGUAUUAUCCAACUUAAAAAGUAUCCAUUUACUAUUCGACACCGGUCUAAAUCCGUACCAUUCUCGACAUCUAAAAAAUCUAUAUUCACAUCCAAAUUCGUAUAAUAUCCGAUCCAAAAAAGUGGAUUAGGAUAUGAAAAGCCCAUGAUCUGCUCCGAUACAUUUUUAUCCCUACCUGCCGGUCCUUCCAUAGCAUGUCUACGCAAACUUUUUAUCCUUUAUAUAGUUUCUAUUUCUAUAUAUUAUUAAAAAAGGGGUGGGGUGGGUUAGUACUAGAAAGGUAACCAUAAAUUUUUCUUUUUAUAGCCUUUGAGUUUGCUUGUUUUACUACCAUGAUGAAUUAUGUGACCAAUGGCAAAAGUUUCCGCAUGUCAGUCAUAUUCAGUCUCUUCAUAUCUUUGUAACACCACACCUCCCAUCAAGUUUUGGAAAGGUUGACACGACAUCGGCGGGCCCGAGGUGCCAAGGAUUCUAGAAAUUCAGGCGGCCCACGUGAACUACGGGCCAUUCGUGUCCACUUACAUGCAAUUCUAAGGCAGGGCCGGCUGACAAGCUCUUAACGCCUUCCGUAGUUCGUACUCGCUGUUGGGCCACUUUCCUUCUGCAACUCCUGCCGACAAUCUUUCCUCAAAAAAAAAAAAAACAAAAACAAAAAACAAAAUCCCUGCAUACAAAUAUGUUAUAAAACAUGUUGCCAGCUUUCCCUCUCCGUCUCUUAUGAUGAACACAAUAGAUAAAAAUAGAGAACAAAUCACACUAUAAAAGAGCGAGUUUUUUUAAGGUGCUCUCCCUCUCUAAUAAUCAUUUGAUCUAAAGGUUGUACUAUAUGAGCCAUCCAUCACCCGUGAUCUUACAUGAUAUAAGAUGUAAGACUUCUCCUAAAUCAAGAUUCAUCCUAGACCCGAAAAACAGAAAAAUAAUAGAGUUACAAAUACCUCAGUCUUUUUUUUCUCUCCGUGUAAUCUUGCUUCCUUGGAACCGAUCCAUAUUUGUGUACCGGAGUCCAAUGCCAACUCACAUGCAUAGCUUUUCUAAUUUUUAGGUCCAAUUCAUUAGCCGUUUCGACUCUUUUUAUUUAAAGAAUUAAGAGCAUGUUUCCUUUUUGUCGUGCAUGCUUAAGAUCGUACAUGCAUUAUACGACCAGGACUCCAAUCACUACUACACAUGAGCCAUUGCAGUCGUGUUCGUUGUUUCUAUCAAACCGUACAAAGCAUGCGUCAAACCAGAUGACAAAUAAAUAAAAAGUCAGAAAAAUAUGUGAAAAGUUCUGUAGAUAUAUGCACGUCUUUGGCCUCGGGGACGGCGAAGCCUAGGUCAUAGAGGACCUGGAGAUGUUUGAGCAGAUGCGGCAAAUAAUGGUGAGGCACAGGCAAUUAGACAAGCUCGCUAGAGCAUGGACGAGGCAACGAUCCGUUACCCAUGAUCUUACAUGAUGUAAGAUGUACUUCUUGUCAAUCAAAAUUUGUUUUUAUCUAAAAAGAGAAUCCGUAACACACCUUGCAUGAGAAUAGUAAAUAGAUUAAUUAGAAAAAAAUAUAGAUGCACCGCUGCCGUGGAUUGUUCGGAAAAAGAAAAAAAUACACAUCAAGAUACAUGCAUGCAAUUAAUAAAUAGAUUAAUUGGAAAAUAGAAAAUAACAUGCAACUAUAAUAAAUAAACGAAUUAAAAAAGUAAAAUAAUAUGAAGGCACAUCAAUACAAAUAUGUAUUACAAACUAAAAAGAAAAUAAUAAAAUUUGAACACACAUGAUUUUAUUUGUUAUGACAAACAAGGUAGAAAAAACUAGCAAACAUCUUGCAUUAGUUAUAGUACCAUAUUGUGAAUGAACUGUAACGUGGAGUAGAAAUAAAAUCAAGAAACGCCCAAUAAUACAAACACGUGCAUGUCGCACAUGCAUAUUUGCUAGUAGACACAAAAUAUAGAGAUUAUUCUUUAUUUCUUUCAAUAUUGGUGAUUACAACAUAGAGCUCCCAUCUAUAUAUAGUCCUGCCAAGACCUAAGAGUUUUGGUAAGAGCCCACGUACAAACGGACUAGAUUAAGAUUUUCCUUCUCUUUUCCUUCUAGAAAAAAGUUCUUAUGUUUUACAAUACUUCCCCUUGGGCGAUUACCACGAUAUGCAUAUAAAAUAUAGACCACCUCAAUGGCUGGUACAAGCAAUCUACUAGAUGCGUUUUAGUAAAGGAGGCCAAUUUGAUCUACCUCACAUACCGCGUAGGGUAGUGGUUAGUAGAUACAUACCGCGUAGGACAUUUGACAUUGUCGUAGAUCCGCCUGCUUGAUGACGACAGUGCAUGAUUAUGUCGAUGCAGUGCAGAUUAGUAGCACGUAGAGGUAGCAGAUCCGUUCUGCUAACAAUGUUAGAGAUGUCGAUGUCAUCGAAGUAGUCGCGACAGGGACGUCGACAUGAGCGUCGAUGUCGAAAAUCGGCGGCAACUCCAAUGGCGAUGUCGAUGUAGAGUUUGUCGUGCUGAUAAUGUGUUAUAAAAUAUGUUGCCAGUGGUUAGGACCUUUUCCUCUUCGUUUCUUAUGAUGAACACAAUAGAUGAAACUAGAGAACAAAUAGACACAAGAUAAAGAGAUUACUCUUUAUUUCUCUCAAUGUUGGUGAUCAAUGUUGGUGAUUAUAACGUAGAGCUCCCACAUAUAUAUAGUUAUGUCAAGGCCUAAGAGUUUUGGUAAGAACUACAUACAAAUAGACUAGGAUUUUUCUUUCCCUUUUUACAACAAAAUAUACUCGUGUAUUUUAUUUUUUUCUAAACGAACCAAAUUUUGGCCUGAACUUUCUGUAUUCCUAUAACGCGUCAAUGUACACCCUACCAUCAUUGCUCGUGUCUAAUAAGCAUGCGCUAAUCAUAGAUUAAUUAGACCUAAUAGAUUCAUCUCGCUUAUUAGUCUACUCCUUAUAAUUAAUUUUAUAAUUAGCUCAUGUUUAGUCUCCUAGUUAGCAUAGCGUGUCUGAUAUGACACAGAUUAAACUUUAGUCCCUAGAUCCAAAUACCCCCUCAUAUAUGUACUCCCUUUGUUCUAAAAGGAACAAGGUUUAUGGCAUGUUUGGAUCCAAUAGAAUUAGCAGCUAAAACUAGUAUUAGAAUCUAAACAGACCUGCUAAUAAAUUUGCUAAUUAUUAGUUGGAGAGCAGCUAACUAGUAGUUCCAUUAGCAGGUUUCUAGCUGCUAAUAAGUGCUAAUAGUUCAUGUGCACCUUUAACUCACUAUCUAGCAGCUUAGCAUGUGGAUCCAAAUGCCCUUUGCUAAAGAAUAGCUAACUAGAAAAUAGCAGCAACUAGCUAUUAGCAGCUUAACAUACUCUUUUUGAACGAAGGGAGUAUAUAACUAAGAAAUAACAUUUUUUCUUUCGUUCUCCAAACACAACUUGUCCUAUUGAUUUUGUUAUAUAAGAGUAGUCUUUGAGCAUUUUCAGCAGGCUAUCUAAACACACGCCCCCUCCCCGCUAAAAAAGAAAGAAGCGUGGAAUAGGUAAGAAACGAAUCAAACAAUAUUGAACAAAUUUAUUGUUAUAGGGUGCCAUAUUUAUAUGGGAUACAAACACCCACUUAUAUGGGAGUAAUUUAGGUUUUUUAUCCUUAAGGGCUCAACUACCCUUUGCUAGACACGGUCGCUUGUAUUUCCUCACGGAUGUAGUUCAUAACCAAAACAGAGACACCUUGAGAGGGCGCACCUUCGUGACAAAAGGGAGACCUACGAAAAUGAGGUGAAGGUAGGAUGAACUCAUCUCACCUUGAUCAUGACACAUGAUUGUAUGGGUGAGGGGUGGCUCUGCCCAAAGGUACUGUCUCUAAGAGACAUAGGGCAUGUUUGAUUCUCUUCUUCGCUAAGCUUGCCUAACAAAACUAAGACAAGCUAGCUCUAGCCAGCUUUAGUCAAUGUAAGCAACACAUGUUUGGUUGCAUACUCUAGAAAAAUCUGGUUUAGUUACAUUUUGUAUGGUUGCUAGACUUUCCUGGGUGUAUUCACCACAUCUUCAAAUCAGUGAGCUUACCUUCACUCUUCUUGUUCAAGCAUUCUAUCAAAUGGUACUGAGCAUCGUCACAACACACAUGGACAGAGAACCUCGUGCUCCAUCCACCACUCUCAAUGACAUGGCCAUGGGAGCUAUCCUCGAUGAACUCUCCUUACCGACGUAGAUCCAACAUGAGGUGGACGCAAGGCACCUGCAAACAAAGAGUGCAUCCACCGAUGGUGAGGAGUGGAAGCCAUCAACCGGUUUUUUCUGGUGAGGACUUCCUCAAUGAUUCAAGAGGAGCGGAAGCCAUCGUGCCACCUUGUGCUACCAGUGACGAGGAUGAGACGGUGGUGGAAGCUCGAUUUGAUGGUGGGAAGGCACGAUUCGGUGGGAGAAGCACGAUUCGGUGGUAGGGAAGCACGAUUCAAGCAUCAACGCUCUGCCACUGCCCUAGAGGGCCACCUUGCAAUUGUGGUGGAGCUUGUGUGGGGCCGCAAAGGUUGUGUGAAGGCCAGUGUGCUCGUGCUGGCUGACGAUCGAAGAGGAGCUUGCUAGUGGUGCUCGGGCGGAGAGAGGUGAAAGAGAAGGUGAGCUAGCUAGUGGGAUGGAGGAGGAGGAGGAGCAAGCUCGGCGUCAGGUGGGAUGGAGAAGGAGAUGGACUCAUGCUUAUGCGAGGGGGCGAGCAGACUCACGCGAGUUGCUAGCACAAGCCAGGCUCCACAAAAUGCAUCUCCCUCACGUUUGAAGGGUCGAGAUGGUAGAUUAGGGGGGGUGAAUAGGCCUUUCUAAAACAUUAACGUACAGGCUAACCAAAACAAAUGCGAAGUUAAAAUUAUUGGUCUUGCCAAGACUACACCCCUCUAUCUAAGUUUUCUAGCACCUUGUAAAAAGAUCCUAAACAAGCAAACAAGGUGCAACCUUAGCAACAACUCACCUAACCAAUUUUAGAAGCAAGGUCAUACAAACCUAUGCCACUAGUACUUUGCAAACCGUGGGAGCUGCUACACAACUAGUAAGCAAAAACACAAAGCUCCUUAUUGACGGUAGAUAAGUACUCUUUUUAACCAUCAACAUAGCAUGAGAAAGGACUUAAAUUAGAAUACUAUCUAGCUAUAGGUCUUAUCACUAACAUAAUUUCACAAGUUUUGGUGAUUGUCUAUUUCUACAGGAGGUUAUUGGAAUAAGAACAAAAGGAGGUCCAAAUGUCAGAUUUACAUAGAGAGAAUAUGUGAAACGUCAACUUAGAAAUACUCCAGAAGGUUCAGGAAGACACCACCUAAAAGGUGGGGCCCACCUACCAUAGGGUAGGGGCGGGCGCCCCACCCUGUUAGAAGCGGCCGCCUGGAGGGCUCAGCCAAUCACAGUGAACCUCGUGGAUCCUGCCUCCACCCACUUUGAGGAAUAAUCUUAAGCACAUGUUUAAGUCGGUUUGAUCCAAGGGCUGUGGUGCUUCCUAGGGAGCUAUAAAUAAAGACCCUGACCCCCUGGAGAGGAGAGUUCAAUUAUUCUAUGAGAAGAUCAAGAGAAGAAUUAGAUAGAGAGGGGUCCCUCAAAUGGAUCUGUCUCUAUAGGAUUCUUAGCCACCAUCUCAAUUAGAUCUCUAUAGUUCUUUAACAUAGCUACAUAGGAAUAGAUCUAGGAGUCAAGUUAAUCUUGGAGUCUGGAUCAAUCUUCAGUUCUUGGUAAACUCUUAUUCUCUUUGUUAUAUUUAUAUUAGUUCUUGCUACUAUGAAUAUUUGGUUAUAUCGAAAUUGACUUUAUUCUAUUUUCUUAUGUUCUCAAUUAUAUUGUUCUUAGUCUACUUUAAUUAUAUGCUUAGCGUAGUUAGAUUAGAAUUAUGUUUAUGCAUAGGAUCAUAUAGCGCGUACUCAUUAGGCCGAUGGGUAAGUGAUAGAUAUUAUGUAGGCGAGGUGCCUAGACCAUAUUUAUCUACGAUUACCCCUUAUAGUCCGGAGCUUAAGGUAGAUCACGGGAGUGACAGUCCUAUUGAGUCCUUUGUAUUCCUUCUCCCGAUUAUAAGGAUGGUAGAGCACCAUUAUUACAGGGAAAUAAUUGCUAUGUUCAUGAUCUUUCUUGCUAAUAUCACUAUGCAUAGAUAUAACCUUUUAUAGUGAUGAUGCUAGGUGUGCACUACUCAAUGUAUACUUUGACAAUAUAGUUAGAAUACUUAGGAUUUAUUCUUGUAGAUUGUCCUAAUACCAUGCUAGUGCUAUAGACUUAGAGUAAUCUAAUUGAGAUGAUUAUCUUGUUUAUCUUAUGGCUAUGAAUUCUUAUUUAUCAUCUGUCACUUAUUAUUCAUUUUCAUAUAUUUAUCUUAUGUGACACUUACCCUGCAUGAGAGAUAGAUAAAGACAUGGUUAAGGUCUCCAUGAUUACAUGCAGUGCUCAUUGCUCAUUAUUGAUUGCAGCUCUCUUCCCAGUGGUAAAAAUAUAAAUAACGAUAUCUAGAAUACUCCUGGUUAAAAUGCUACAUCGGUAUUAUCUGUGCGCUUACAGAUCCUUUAUUUAUUUAUUUAUUCCUAGAAAAGCAUAUAUAUUUAAUACCAGCACUUCUACAUCAUGUUAGGGAUGACAACCUAGCUUAAGUGAUGUUAAGUAAUUUUGACGCUGUUGCUAGGGAUAGGUUUACGAAUAUGUUUUUAGUAGUUGCAUUAAGAAGUGUCAACAAGCAUUUUUGGCGCCGUUGCCGGGUAAGGUGAAAGAAAUCAAGGAUAUGAGCAUCACUGCAUUUACUCAUGGAUUGAGCACCAUCCACCCUUCUCACUCAUGCAGCUUUAUCCUUGUCUUUUUGUCUAUUUUUAUCAUAUGCAGGAUAAUGUAUGAACAAGUUUGAUCUCCCAGAUAACUUCGUUGAUAAUCCAGAGACAUUGAUCAGGAAGACAAAGGCUAGGUUGAGAAGGAACCAAUCAAUAUCAUCAACAUCGCAGCUUGCCAAUCCUCGUGUGUCAGAAGAUCAACCUACUCAAAGUUUGACACCAGAGAUUGACGCCAUGGCUGACAAGUCACUUCGUGAGUUCUCAGCUCCCACUAUAGCCAAUAUCCAUACUGGACCGGCUGUGGACAUUAAUGAAUCAUUUGAGCUCAAGCCGGCACUAAUCAAUAUGGUGCAAGGAAGCCAGUUCUACGGGAAGGCCCAUGAAGACGUUAGUGCUCAUCUCCAACACUUCCUGGAGAUCUACAGCACUUUCACUAUCAAGGACGUCCCCAGAGAUGCUAUUACUUCACCUUUUCCCAUUCUCACUCUUGGGGAAAGCGAAGAAAUGGUUCUACGCCAACAAGGAGAAGAAUACUACGUGGGUGUAACACCCUAAAUUUUGCAAGUCUUCAAAAUAGAAGAAAAUAAUUUAAUUUUGUAUUUUUGUGCUCAUGAAAAUAUAGGAAAAAAACAAUAUUUUCUUUAAAUUAAAAUUAAUCAUAAGGCUUAGCAACUUGUUGUGCACACAUGCUUCUGCACUUGAUUUAUUUUGAUGAGCAUAUUUGAACGAAAAAUUCAAAAUGAUUUAAAAAGGAUUUUGAAAUGAGUUUGAAAUGGCUUUUAAAUAAAAGAAAAAUGAAAGUAAAGGAAAAGCUCUCCCUCUCUCUGUUUUUGGCCCGAGAGGCCCAACCAACUUUCGGCUCCCUCCCCUCUCUUCUCUCCCCGUGGCCCAACUUCUUUUCCCUCCCUCUUGGCCCAAAGGCUUGUCUCCCCCUGCCGAGACCCCGCGCUCGGCCCAGCCGGUAGCCGAGGCCCAAGCUUCCCCUCUCCCCCUCGCCUCAGCCCAGCCAGCCCAUGACCUCGAGCAGCGCGCCCCUUCCUUCUCCCUUGGCCACAUGGCCCAGCAUCUCGGCCCGAUGGCCCAGUCGACCGCGCGUUUCCCCUCCUCUCACUGACAUCUCUGGCCCGCGCGCCAGCGCCACCCCCCUCUCUCCUACAGCUGAUGUCUAGGGACCGCUUGGUAGUAGCUCCAUCGUCUUCCUCCUCGAGUCGUGUACGAGCAGGACACAAAACCGAAGCUUACGCUGCCCUAAUCCUAGGUUUCUCAGGAUUUCCUACCAUUGUGCGCACCGAGCCGCAAUAAACCUCCACGCCUCUCCCCCGUGCCUUCCUCUUCCUCAUCUAGUAGAGCUGUGAGCCCCAAUCCACUGCCAGCCUUGCUUUUGGAUCUCGCCGAGAAGCCGAGAGCGUCGUCAUCGUGGAAUUUCCUACCUAAGACCGGGUCGACGAAAUCAAUACUGCGCCGAGCUUCGGGUUGAGGUGACGAGUAUACCGAGCUCUUCCUUCUGCUCUCUAGCACGAUCUUUUGCUCUUAAACCUUCGCUGAACUUUCUGUAGAACACCCGAUCCGCCAUCUCUCAACGCCAGACUUCUCCGAGCCGUCCCUGAUCGCGAAGAGGCCCUGGGUGAGUUCGCCUUGAGUCCCUCUUGCUCCCCAUGUUUUUUGUCAAAUCGUAGACCAAGUCAUCGGAUUUGCGAACUCUGACGAGGCUCGGUCUUUUCUGGCCAUGGCACCACCGUAGGCUCCCUCUACUCCGGCCGGCUCCCUCUCUCUCUCUUCCCCAAAUCUAAUCGGAGCCAUUGAAACGCGAUCCAACACCUAGGAUUAGCCCGUACCCCUUCGCUUGUGAAUUUUGUUAAAGAGUCCCUGACCUUUUCUAUUUUAGAAUCUGCAGUCCAAAGUGGCACUGUGGAAUACGUCAACGGCUUUAGAAAACAUAUUUCACCUCGGUAUGAUUCAAAUACGCUUUCACAAAAUUACAAGUUUGCCACUAAAACUGUUUGGCUCAUAAAAUGUUCAUUUUAAUUCCGAUUUGACCCAUUCAAAUUGCGUUGGAUUCGUAUUAAUGAGCUCUACAUGUUAGUAAACUUAAUUUACCAGUUUGAAACUUUUUAAUAUCAUGACCUUAAUUAAUUAAUUACUUUUCUAUAUAAAAUCUUAAAAAAAUUUAUAACUUCUGUGUUUUAAUUCUGAUUUUCGGGAUCUAUACGUCUAUGAAAUCAUAGCGAUGCGUAGAAUCAUUUUAUAAGCUUUUCAUACUGUUCUUAUAUUGUUGGUGUACUAUUCUAAUUGUGGCCUUGUUUGCUUCGUGUAUGUUGUCUCUGAAUGUUUGUGUGUGGUUGAUCGAUGAUCGAGUUUAGACGGAGAGCAGUUUUUGGUGAUCAAGAUCAGAGCCUUGGACAACUAGUAAGACCCGCAGGAUCAACAAGAGCAUUUGGAUUAAGGCAAGUAUAGCAUUUAGAUUUUAUUCUGUGACCAUGAUCCUGUGACUAGAUUAAUGCUAAGUAAUAAACGAUAAAAAUGACUUUUUAGCCACAUGAUGAUUUAUUUAUAAGUGAUAACUGGGACAACAGUGCAACCAUGAGGACUAUAAUGGCUCUAGCUUUAGUUAAGUAUGAGUAAUUUUUCUAGCUCAUUAGCGGUUACCCAUGUGGCGCAAUUGGGGAAUAGCAGACCGUGGAGACCUGUGGGUGGAUCACACGGACUGACUAAUGAAACCAAGUGGCCCUAACUUGUUAGACGAACCUUUGAAAGACUUCCUAGUGAUCCCUGCCGACCUUCUUUGGUAGUGGGUUAAGAGGCUGAUCACCUCGGGCGAAAGGGUAAAUCAUGACUGAUGGGUAAAGAUGUACAACCUCUGCAGAGUGUUAAAAACUAGUAUACUAGCCGAGCUCACGGUCAGGAGCGGCCUUGGGGAUUCUUGCAUUAACGGUGUUGAUUCUUGUUGUGUUAAUAUGCUCAUGUUUAUUGUUUAAUGCUCUACAUUAUUUAUGUGACAUUGAUCAUGAGAUUGUGGGAGCUAUACAAUCUAGUUGCUAUACUUGUGGAGUUUGACAUGGACUCACUCUUGCUAUUUUCCCCAUACUUCAAGAGAAGUGUUAGGCUUGUGAUCAACUAGUCAGUUGGAUCCUGUAGAAUGAAGUUAAUACCCAAAGUUUGGAGUUGUCAAUCCGCUGUUUGCUAUCAAAUGUUAUCUGUUUUAUACUAAGUACGAGAUUUAUGCACUGUCUUUUGAUAUACCUCUUAUUUGUAGCUAUAUAUGAGAUUUGACUUCUAAGACUCACAUAUGGUGCAUAUCUGGUUUUGUCCUUAAAAUCGGGUAUUACAAAGUGGUAUCAAAGUAGUGCUGACUGUAGGACGCAUGCCUAGUUAGAACCGGAUGAUUUAGCUUACUUCUACCUCUGCUUACUUCUUGCUUUCAUCUUAACCUUGAUAAUAACUAAAAGUUAUGCUUACUUCUUGCCUAGUUCUAUUAUGAAACUUUGUCUCCAUUCUAAACCCUCCCUCAUUGUCUCUUUAGAUGGAUCAUAACGAGGAGACCUUUGGCAAAAAGGAACAAAAACACCCAGACAUGCCAACUGUGAAAGCUUUCGACAAGGAGAAGAUUUAGGCCAUGCAAACACAAGUAGUGGAAGGAAUAACUCAGAAUAGGAACUCUCAACAACGCAUCUUAGGACCAGUGAGGAGACAAGUAGCAGAAGCUUGAAAAAAUAUGAGAAACUAUGGAAGUGUUGGUAGUAAUACAUCAAGAUAUCAGGAUCAAUGCCACUGUUGUGAGCAUUAUGAUCUUCCUUGUCUUCGGAAUAGGUCAUCUAAAAAGGAAGUUAAGACAAAACCAACCUAUGUGACUAAUGAGGAUAAGAAGAGGAAAAAAUCACUAGAGCCAGCAUUGGGAAGUGAUCAACAUUCAAAUCCUAAGUUGUCACCUUUAGCUUCGAAUUCUUGUCAGGAAAAUCUAAACCUUGGAGAUGGACAAACUUCCCAAGCUAACCCCACUGCUCAUGAGGUAUGCAUAGAUGGAUGGACAAUUACUUACAAAGAAUUUCAACCUCGAAGGAGCAACUAAGGUAGGAAGAAAGCUAAUGAGCCAAAGAUAAACCAUCAGAGUCAGUGAGUUGAUAACACACCGAGCAACACUUUUAGUAGAAAAUGACAUCACAAAGGAUCCAGCUAAGAGAAGGUGUUAUCACUGCCAAUAAGAAGUACAUUAUAUAAGCUCUUGUCCAUAAAAUAAGCAAUAGAUGCAUCAUGAAAGUAGCCACACCGAGUCUAAGAUUUAGGAGGAUGUGUCCCCUUGUGUAAUAAAAACGCUAGUAGCGAAAGUUGAGUUUGUGUGCCUUGUGAACCUUUAAUGCUUAAUUGGUUGUUAUUAUGUUUAUUCUUGAUCUAGAUCUUUGUAAUGAGUGUAAUGAUUUUGUUAGAUUUCUCCACAAUAUCAUUAGUUUAUAGGCCUAAGGCAUAAGGAGUAAUGAAAUAAGUAGUUGAGUUUGGUUAUAUCCUGUUUCUAUCCCUUGCUGAUUUCUGGAGCAGUUUGCAAUAAUUCUGGUGUACCCCAAGUUCUGAUCAUGCAAAGUUUAACAACUUUUUCUGGAAACAACUAGACUUCAAGAUCUUUCUCUAACCACAAGAAUCACCCUCACAGCUAUUAUGGUUUGGAAGUUACAAAAAUCACAAGAUGAUACAAAUGUGCUGUCAAAAAAUCUGGACCAGUUUCGGUUACUUAAUAUUUGAGACAAAUAUAAAUAUAGAAUUUUGAAAAGUGUGCUAUAGAAAAGUUAUAUACAAUUUGUUAAGCUUUCCAAUGGUAUAAGCUGGAACUUAUUUGGAUAAGUAGAACCUGAGAUAUGAUAUUUACAAUUGGAUGUUUCUGUUCUGUUUCAAAAUCUGGACAGACCUGGCAAUUCCCAAUUUCAGCUAAAUUAACUUCAGAAUCUGGGAAAAUGUGGUAUACGAAAGUUGUAGAGGAUUUCCUAAGCUUUUCAAAAAUUAAAGGAUCAUCUCCAGAUGAGUUGUGUAGCUCGAGAUAUAACUUCUGGAAGUUACUGCACCUUUGCUGUGACAUUGUCAGGAUGGGUAUUAUGUUUGGCUAUUUUACUUAAGCUUAAAGACAGAACCUAAGGAGGUAUUCUACAUGAAAGUUGUAGAGAAUUUCAUAAGUUUUCUAAGGACAUAAGCUACAACUCUAUUGGAUUAAUAAAACAAGAGUUAUGACUAUUUUACUACGCUGGAGUUUUUCAUAUAUUGCGAGGAAAUUUCAGAAUACUUGUUUCUUCCCUUGCACAUAUGUUCUUUGGGAUGUUAGCAGUUCUGAAUGUUAGUUAACUUGUCUAGAAAACAUGCAAGCUACCUUUCUUGUGUCCCCUAAAUGACUUUCUUAAGGGGGGUAGCCUAAUUAAAGAAGUUACAAGGAGAAGAAGUGGUUAAUGACUGGAACAUCUAUAAGUACAUCAAGUGCUUGGUAUGUUUGGUUUGUUUCAAGAUAUCAUUCCAUUUGGAGUAUGCUAAUACCAAUGGAGGUUUAUGUCAUGGCUGAUACUCAUGGAAUGAGAGUUAUGUUUAUGAGGAUCAGAUGACACCAAAGUUUACGAAGUUAUAAGUGGGAUGCGAGAGUGAAGCAACUUAACUGUGAUAAAGGUACCGAUAAUUGGAACUUAGUGAUGAAACUAACCUUGGAUAAAGAGACUCAGUACAAUGAAAUUAAAAGACUAUGAUGUGUAGCAUCCAAAAAGGAUAGGAGAAUUAGUCCCUAGUGUCCCCCAAUCAACCUCGUCUUAAGGGGGUAGUACCUUGAUAUCAUGGGAUGAUGCAUUUUAAAACUAUCUUGAAGUCAUAAUUGUCUUCUGAGAUAUCUUAUGGUUUGGUCAUCUAUCCUUGCCGUGUUACUGACGUUGGUCACUUGAUGAUAAGGAGUGUAGUGUCCCAUGGAUCCGGAGCACAAUAUGACUCCUCUCAUGGAUAUGUAGGAAGAUUAUGAUCAUCUUGCCUUUGAAGAAAGAUGUUAUGAGUAUGAUAAAGUUGAGUACUAUCAAAAUAAUAAUAUUGAAAAGCAAGUUGAUAGUGAAUCAAUCAAAAUCCACAAUGAGGGAAGCAUAAAAGGAAAGCCCGUAAGAAGCCUGCUCACGGGAGUAAAGAGCAGCGAAAUUAUAUCAAUAGAAGACUGAGCAAUGUGGAUAGGAAUAACAUUCAAGGAGCCACCAAAGUGGUGGGAGGUUAUAUUCAAGUGGACUCAGUGCUAGUUUUUGCUCUGUUUGACCGAAGUGCUUUGCAUUCUUUCAUUUCCGCCGACUUGGUAAAGACGAUUGAAUGGGUGAAGUGUCCGACGAGGAAGCCUUUGUUAGUUCAAACCCCAAUGGGAGAAUCUCAAAUAUCAAUCUUGUCAUAAAGAAGGAAAACUUCACUAUAAACCUCAUUGUGCUAGAGUCACUUGAUAUUCCUUUGGUUCUUGGCAAUGGAUGGUUAUGUGCACUCAAAGGAGUGAUCUAUGGUACCCAGUGGAAAAUUUUCUUAACCGCACCAUCAAGGAAGAGAAUUGAGUAUCAAGGUGGUCCACUCCUACCUGAGGAGGCAUAUCCAUGCUAAGUUAUCAUAUCUUUGAGUUGUAUAAGUUAAAAAAUUUUGGUAGUCAAGAUGGACCUUGAGCAUUUAUGAAUAAUAGACAUUCUAUGGAAAAUUUGAGUUUGCUUUUGGUAUGCUAGUUGUAAAGUUGAAAGAGUUAUCAAGAUCUUUAUCCUGUUGUCUCAGAGGAUCCGUGUCUCUUUCGAAUCUCGAGGAUGAGAUUCAUUUUAACGGGGAUAGAUUUGUAACACCCUAAAUUUUACAAGUCUUCAAAAUAGAAGAAAAUAAUUUAAUGUUGUAUUUUUGUGCUCAUGAAAAUAUAGGAAAAAAUAUUUUCUUUAAAUUAAAGUUAAUCCUAAGGCUUAGCAACUUGUUGUGCACACAUGCUUCUGCAUUUGAUUUAUUGUGAUGAGUGUAUUUGAACGAAAAAUUCAAAAUGAUUUUAAAAGGAUUUUGAAAUGAGUUUGAAAUAGCUUUUAAAUAAAAGAAAAAUGAAAGAAAAGGAAAACCCCUCCCUCUCUCUGUUUUUGGCCCGAGAGGCCCAACCAACUUUUGGCUCCCUCCCCUCUCUUCUCUCCCCGUGGCCCAACUUCUUUCCCUCCCUCUUGGCCCAAAGGCCUGUCUCCCCCUGCCCAGACCCCGCGCUCGGCCCAGCUAGCCCAUGACCCCGAGCAGCGCACCCCUUCCUUCUCCCUUGGCCACAUAGCCCAGCAUCUCGGCCCGAUGGCCCAGUCGACCACGUGUUUCCCCUCCUCUCGCUGACAUCUCUAGCCCGCGCGCCAGCGCCACCCCCCUCUCUCCUACAGCUGAUGUCUGGGGCCCGCUUGGUAGUGGCUCCAUCGUCUUCCUCCUCGAGUCGUGUACGAGCAGGACACAAAACCGAAGCCUACGCUGCCCCAAUCCCAGGUUUCUCGGGAUUUCCUACCCUUGUGCGCAUUGAGCCGUAAUAAACCUCCAUGCCUCUCCCCUGCGCCUUCCUCUUACUCAUCUAGUAGAGCCGUGAGCCCCAAUCCGCUUCCAGCCUUGCUUUCGGAUCUCGCCGAGAAGCCGAGAGCGUUGCCGUCGUGGAAUUGCCUACCUAAGACCGUGUCGACGAAAUCAAUACUGCGCCGAGCUUCGGGUUGAGGUGACGAGUAUACCGAGCCCUUCCUUCUGCUCUCUAGCGCGAUCUUUUGCUGUUAAACCUUCGCCGAACUUUCUGCAGAACACCAUGUCCGCCAUCUCUCAACGCCGGACUUCUCCGAGCUGUCCCUGAUCGUGAAGAGGCCCUAGGUGAGUUCUCCUUGCGUCCCUCUUGCUCCCCGUGCUUUUUUUUUCAUCAAAUCAUAGACCAAGUCAUCGGAUUUGCGAACUCCGGUGAGGCUCGGUCUUUUUUGGCCAUGGCGCCUCCGUAGACUCCCUCUGCUCCGGAUGGCUCCCUCUCUCUCUCUUCCCCAAAUCUAAUCGGAGCCAUUGAAACGCGAUCCAACGACUAGGAUUAGCCCGUACCCCUUCGCCUACGAAUUUUGUUAAAGAGCCACUGACCUUUUCUAUUUUAGAACCCGCAGUCCAAAGCGGCACUAUGGAAUACGUCAACGGCUUUAGAAAACGUAUUUCACCUCGGCAUGAUUCAAAUACACUUUCACAAAAUUACAAGUUUGCCACUAAAACUGUUUGGCUCAUAAAAUGCUCAUUUUAAUUCCGAUUUGACCCAUUCAAAUUGCGUUGGAUUCGUAUUAAUGAGCUCUACAUGUUAGUAAACUUAAUUCACCAGUUUGAAACUUUUAAAUUUCGUGACCUUAAUUAACUAAUUACAUUUUUAUAUAAAAUCUUAGAAAAUUCAUAACUUCUACAUUUUAAUUUUGAUUUUCGGGAUCUAUACGUCUAUGAAAUCAUAGCGAUGCGUAGAAUCAUUUUAUAAGAUUUUCAUACUGUUCUUAUAUGGUUGGUGUACUUGAAAGGAUCAAGAUGCCCAAGAGGGGUGGGGUGAAUUGGGCUUCUCUAAAAAUUUAAGCAACCUAUAAGCUCCAAUUCAACCCCUUGUGCCUAGUGUGACUAGAGAGCUACCGGAUAAAAGUUUUGCAACCUCGUUCCAAUCCUAUUCUAGCAUGGAAAUUCUAAGAAAGUAAAAACACAAAGUAAAUGCUAGAAAGUAAAGGAGUAGUGGAAGAAAGUGCUCAGCGAUGUUUUGCCGAGGUAUCGGAGAGUCGCCACUCUCCACUAGUCGUCGUUGGAGCACCCGCGCAAGGGUCUUGCUCCCCCUUGGUCCGUGCAAGGACCAAGUGCUCUCUACGGGCUGAUUCUUUGACACUCUGUCGCGGUGAAUCGCCCAAAACCGCUCACAAGCUUGACACGAGCCACUCACAAGAACUCCGGGCGGUCUUCGUGCCUCCAAUCACCACCGAACCGUCUAGGUGAUGGCGAUCACCAAGAGUAACAAGCAAAGAACUCUCACUUGACCCAAACAAGGCACUAGAGAGUGGUGGAUGCACACUUGACUCUUGGAAUUCAACUAGAGAAGGAUUCUCACAAGAAAUCACUCAAAUCUCAAUCUUCUCUAGGCUCUUGCUACUCUCUUGCUCCACAACAAGUUUCUCUGAUGUUCAAAUGGGCAAGAGACCUCUCAUGGACGAGGUGGAGGAGUAUAAAUACACCCCACGAAGUCCAAAGGUCAGCCAACCGUUUUCCACUUAAAACAGGGUCACUGGACGCUGUUGAUGUUGCACCGGACGCUCUGCACCGAGUGUCCGGUGACACUUCAAUGGCUAACUGUACUUGGUGUGACAGGUCACCGGACGCUACAACCCAGCGUCCGGUGGCACCGUCCGGUGCUCCGGGGAGUUUUACAAACUCCCUGAGUUUAAGACCGGACGCUACCCGGUGCGUCCGGUGCUAGCGUCCGGUGCUCAAGGGAAGUUUACAACCUCCCUGGGUGUGGGACUGGACGCUGCCCGGUGAGUCCGGUGCCAGCGUCCGGUGCCUAACCCUAAGCACCGAAACCCUCCAACGGCUAAGGACCUCACUGGACGCACUCACAGAGCGUCCGGUGCAGCGUCCGGUGCCUACUUAGGCACCCCAACUUUGUCGAAACGCGAUCGUUCCAAAACGAAGUUGGUUCCUCUCGAUCUAAGGACUAUCUCUGAGCUGCCUAGUGCUAGGGUUACCAAGUGUGCACCACACCUAAACCUAAAGCCUUGCCUAAGUCAAUCUACUAGAUCAAAGCCCCUCUUAAUAGUACGGUCAAAGAAAAACAAAGUCCUAAACUACUCUAAGUGCCCUUCUUCACCAUAUGGCACUUAGACCUAGUCUAGUCUUGACGAUGUCCAUCCAUCCUUUGAAAACCGAAACGAUUUCCACUAUUAAGUAGGCAUGUACGUCCUUGUUCAUCGAGUACCUAUUACCAUUACCUCACCAAUGACUUUGCCUCUGCAAAACACACGUUAGUCAUAUUAAUCAACAUUGUCAUUAAUCACCGAAAUCACUAGGGGCCUAGAUGCUCUUUCAAUCUCCCCCUUUUUGGUGAUUGAUGACAAUAACCUCGAGUAUGAAGGAAAUGAGGUUUUCAAAUGACUUGGUUUCUAUAAGCAUAAUACAAUAAGAGCAAAGGGGUUAGGCAUGCUUAUAUUUACUAAGUCUACCAUCCUGCAUCCAAAUAUGUGAGACGUGUCCAACAGGAUAUAAACACAAAUGGCUCAUAGUACAUCGGAGUAAAAACGCGGAAGCAAAGGUAAUAUGAGCCAACCACAUGACAUAGAGAUAUCACAAAUACGCAUAAGUCAUGUCUCACAACCAAAAAGGCACAACCAAGUGUAUCUCACAAGUGCAACGCAUAAACGUAAACAUGAUGCAUGAUGUAGUAGCACACAAAAGAGUAUCAAAAGAAUAAAGCCCUGUCAAGCUCUAGCUCCCCCUAACUCUCAUACUCACAACCCUCCCCCCUUUG